UCAGCCAGGGGGAGACGUAAGAAACCAAUUUUGCUGCAAUGUUUUGCUCACAGAACUAACUGCUGCUUUGGGAAAUGACUAACAGUAUUGAAAGCUUUGUUCAUCAGCAGAGAAGCCCAGAAGUUGAUUUAUUCAGCAAGUAACUUGGAAUGCCACAGCUUUGGGGCUUCCUGGGGUUCUGCAGUAGCUUUGCUGUUUUAGUGUUUGUUUUAAGUACUACUACUAUGAAUGUGUCCUACGGUGGUGUUCUAUGCCAAAGUUGAUGUUUCAAAUGGUGAUGUAUUUCUACCUCUGUUGGUGGACAAUGUAACUUUGUGAUUAUGGAUUUUCUGCUGGGACUUCCUUCAGUUGAUUACUGUUUCUUUUUUUGGCUAGUGCAAAGCGAGUGUGUGGUUGUAGUUGCUGUUGGUUGUUUUUUGUGGCUACUCCCUCCGUCGUGGUUUAUUAGGCACCCUCACAUUUUGGGUUAAAGUUUGACCAUAGAUUUAACUACUAAAAUAUAAACUGUGUCACAAACAUUACACUGAUAUUGAAUACAAAGUCAACAGUAUACUUUUUGUAGCAUAUAUUUUAUAUUUUGUUAGUCAUAUAGAUGGUCAAAAUUUGACCCAAAGUACGGAAGACACAAUAAACUCAGACGGAUGGAGUAACUGUUACAUAUGCCUAAAGGAAAUGAAAUCUGGGCACUGAAUUUGCGAGUUGUUGGGCACUACGAUGAAUUGUGUUGAUGACUUACUGAAGAGACAAGUCAUUUGAGGGGGGUGAUGUCGAGGUUUUUCUUUUUAAUGAAACUUGAUAUUGUUACCUUAACCAGCCUAUAGUGGUAGGAGCUCUUGGGUGCUCCACACCCCUAUAUGAAUAUUAAAUGUAAAAGAAACCCAAAAAAUUCAAAAAAAAUCUGAAAUUUGAAGAUAUCAAACCUGGGUUUUCAAUGUAUUCCCAUGUGAAAUUUUGUGUAAAAAUAUCAGAAAACAUAUCGGUGGCAAAGGAAAUACUGUCCGAGCAAAAAUCCAUCCAAACAGUUUUUUUCUAUACGCAAGAAUUUUUUGUCUUUUUGCCACAAAUACAUUUCCUGGUUUUUUUUUCAAGAAAUUUCAUACGGGAGUAGAUUGGGAACCCAGGUUUGAUAUCCCAAAAUCUCAUAUUUGUUUUUUCAAAUUUCUCAAUUUUUUUUUUGAUUUAAUGUUCAUAUAGGGGUGUGGAGCACCCUGGUGCUACAAAUACGCUUCCGCCAGGUCUUGUUCUAAAACAAGUGCCAAUGUUUCUUUUUUUUCUAAAAUUUGCUUUACUAAUUUUUGUGAUCUUGAACUGUCGGACCAGUGACAAAGGAAUUUUUAAACAAUACUAGCAAACAUGCCCGUGCGUUGUAACGGGAGAAAAAAAUCUACGCAUUGUCCUACUAAAAAACAUAACGUAGAAAGCGCGCUAUACGGGAUGUGGUAAGAGAAAUGUGCAAACUUUGCUGUUAUCUUUUUUUUUGGCUCACAUUGUAAACACCUAGAAAAACCUCAUCUCGUCCAAGUGAGAAGUUGGUGUCGGGGAGGAUAUAUGGAAAAUUGCAUUUUUGGAAUUUGCAAUAAUGCGAUGGGCGAACGACGGGAAUUGAACCCGCAAUCUUUGAUAAAACAACAAAGAAAAAGCAUGCACAAUAAAAUUCUAAUUAUUCAUGUGGUUACUUUUGACUCAUUCGUGACUUUUUUUUUGGUUUUUCCUUUACGUUAUGGGACAUGCUUUCCCUUUAAUAUACGCCUUGUUCAUUCAGCAUGGUAUGGCAAGUCGCCCAUUAUCCUCCUCAUAUUAAUGCUGCCUCAAGAAUUUAUUUUUUCCAAAUCUGAUUGAUGCUAAUCCAAAUGAUGGUGCUGCCUGCAAGGCACCCCUUCUUCUUUUUUUGCGAAAUUGGCACCUCCCUCUUCUCAUUCUCUGUUCGUUCCCGUGGUGGCCUCCUGAUGCUCAUGACAACUUGCGAAACAUUUUCAAUUGCUGAGAUUCGCUAAUGGACCGAUGUGGGACUACUUAUUAGAAAGGGAAAGAAAGAGUACAAAGGGUUACAGUCUAGGAGAGCUAGAGCUGCGACCGCAAAAGUACAACCACCUCACCGCGUGUCCCACCGAAAAAACACACGAUCAACAAAGAGCCCAAGCUCAUGCCACCAAAUCGCUAAUACAACCCGCGGCCCUCCAGACGCCGAUAUCCUUCAGGAUCAGGUCCCGAAUCUUGUCAGCAGAACUUGCCACAUUAUCAAAGAUCCUCGCGUUCCUUUCCUUCCAAAUCCUCCAGUGAAGAAGAAUGACAAUCGUGUCGAAGUUCCUCCGCAUUGGCUUCGGGAUCGUCGCCCUUGCCUUCAACCACCACUCUUCUGUAGAGUUGAAGGUAACAUCAGGGAUCAGGAAAUCAGCCCUCGUCCGUGCCUUAAAACGAAGCCAGACUAGCUUGGUGAAAUUGCAGUGCACAAAGAGAUGUGAGUAGGACUCAGGCUCAGAAGCGCAAAGAGGACAGAUGCCAUUGGAUGGCCAGUUCCUCCGCUCCAGGUUGUCAGCUGUCAGACAUCUACGGUGGACAGCCAGCCACAUGAAAAACUUGCAACGCGGUGGCGCCUUGGAUUUCCAGAUCGGCUUGUAGCAAGCAAAGCUAGUGUUCCCGAGGAAGAACAAGUGAUAAGCACUCUUAACAGAGAACUGUUGAUCGUGCGACAAUUUCCAGAUCGCCCGGUCUCUGGUUCCCAUAGUCAGCGAUGUGUCCUGGACAUUCUCCCAAACCCGCAGGUAUUGGGCCAUGGCUAUAAGAGUUAAACCUCCUGAGAUAUCUCUGAUCCAGGUCUGGCCUUGCAAAGCCUCUCUCACCGAUCUCCCUUUGUCCCUAACAAAGGAGAACAAUGCUGGAGCCAUAGCAGCAAUAGAACGGCCAUCCGGGAGCCAGUUGUCAGUCCAAAACCGCGCGGGUUCACCGUCACCCAGACUGAUGCAGCAGGCCGCAUUGAACAUGGCCUGAACGUCCUUCUCUGUGGAAUCAGGGGUAUGUUGCCACGGUCUCUCCUUUGCGUCCCAUUGUAACCACGGCCAUUUGCAUCUGAGUGCCAAGCCGAACCACUUGAGAUUAAUAAUGCCGAGCCCUCCAGCCUCCAAAGGUAAACAAACUCUUGACCAAGGCAUGAGACAAUGGCCCCCAUUGAUCUCCUCCUCACCCUUCCAAACAAAACCCCGGCAGCGCCUGUUAAUGAUUUUUAUGGCCCACGUCGGCAAAGGAAGCACAGCCAUCAGGUGGAUAGGCAAGGCCAUGAGCACUGAUCUCGUGAGAGUUAGACGGCCCGCAGCGGCGAGCAUCCUCGGCUUCCAACCUUUCAUUUUUGCGGAGACUUUAUCGAUGAGAGGUAGAAGAUCAUGGCGUUGCAAUCUGUAGAUGGACAGUGGUAAGCCCAGGUAUUGGAUAGGGAAUUGCUGUCUCCUGCACUGAAAGUGCUCCUCCACCGCCUCAGCCACCACAUCAUCACAGCGAAUGGUCGUGACCGUACUCUUUUGCAUAUUGAUCUUCAACCCCGUGGCCUCUUCAAACAGCUUCAAAAUACUAGAUAUGAUCUGUAGGUCUGAGUGAAGGAAAUAUGCCCUAGAGGCAAUAAUAAAGUAUUAUAUAUUUCCUUAUAUCAUGAUAAAUGUUUAUUAUUCAUGCUAGAAUUGUAUUAACCGGAAACAUAAUACAUGUGUGAAUACAUAGACAAACAAAGUGUCACUAGUAUGCCUCUACUUGACUAGUUCGUUAAUCAAAGAUGGUUAUGUUUCCUAGCCAUAGACAUGAGUUGUCAUUUGAUUAACGGGAUCACCUCAUUAGGAGAAUGACGUGAUUGACAUGACCCAUUACGUUAGCUUAGCACCCGAUCGUUUAGUAUGUUGCUGUUGCUUUCUUCAUGACUUAUACAUGUUCCUAUGACUAUGAGAUUAUGCAACUCCCGUUUACCGGAGGAACACUUUGUGUGCUACCAAACGUCACAACGUAACUGGGUGAUUAUAAAGGUGCUCUACAGGUGUCUCCAAAGGUACUUGUUGGGUUGGCGUAUUUCGAGAUUAGGAUUUGUCACUCCGAUUGUCGAAGAGGUAUCUCUGGGCCCACUCAGUAAUACACAUCACUAUAAGCCUUGCAAGCAUUGUGACUAAUGAGUUAGUUGCGGGAUGAUGUAUUACGGAACGAGUAAAGAGACUUGCCGGUAACGAGAUUGAACUAGGUAUCGAGAUACCGACGAUCGAAUCUCGGGCAAGUAACAUACCGAUGACAAAGGGAACAACGUAUGUUGUUAUGCGGUCUGACCGAUAAAGAUCUUCGUAGAAUAUGUAGGAGCCAAUAUGGGCAUCCAGGUCCCGCUAUUGGUUAUUGACCGGAGAGGUGUCUCGGUCAUGUCUACAUAGUUCUCGAACCCAAAGGGUCCGCACGCUUAAAGUUAUGAUGACAGUUUUAUUAUGAGUUUAUAUGAUUUGAUGUACCGAAGGUUGUUCGGAGUCCCGGAUGUGAUCACGGACAUGACGAGGAGUCUCGAAAUGGUCGAGACGUAAAGAUUGAUAUAUUGGACGACUAUAUUCGGACACCGGAAGUGUUCCGGAGAAGUUUCGGAUUAAACCGGAGUGCCGGAGGGUUACCGGAACCCCCCGGGGAAGUAUUGGGCCUUAGUGGGCCUUGAGGGGAGAGAGAGGGCAGCAGCCAGGAGGUGGUGCGCCCCCUCCCAGAGGAGUCCUAGUUGGACUAGGAGAGGGGGGCGCAGCCCCCUUUCCCUCUCCCUCUCCCUCUCUUUCCUUCCCCCCUUCUUUUCCUAGUAGGACUAGGAAAGGGGAGUCCUACUCCUACUAGGAGGAGGACUCCCCCCCUCUCCUUGGCGCGCCCCAUAGGCAGCCGGCCUCCCCCUUGCUCCUUUAUAUACGGGGGCAGGGGGGCACCUAUGAACACACUUGAUAUACGAUAUUUUAGCCGUGUGCGGUGCCCCCCUCCACCAGAUUACACCUCGAUAAUACCGUCGCGGUGCUUAGGCGAAGCCCUGCGUCGGUGGAACAUCAUCAUCGUCACCACGCCGUCGUGCUGACGAAACUCUCCCUCAACACUCGGCUGGAUCGGAGUUCGAGGGACGUCAUCGAGCUGAACGUGUGUAGAACUUCGGAGGUGCCGUACGUUCGGUACUUGAUCGGUCGGAUCGUGAAGACGUUCGACUACAUCAACCGCGUUGUGAUAACGCUUCCGCUGUCGGUCUACGAGGGUACGUGGAUAACACUCUCCCCUCUCGUUGCUAUGCAUCACCAUGAUCUUGCGUGUGCGUAGGAAAUUUUUUGAAAUUACUACGUUCCCCAACAGUGGUAUCAGAGCCUGGUUUUAUGCGUUGAUGCUAUGCACGAGUAGAACACAAGUGAGUUGUGGGCGAUAUAAGUCAUACUGCUUACCAGCAUGUCAUACUUUGGUUCAGCGGUAUUGUGAGAUGAAGCGGCCCGGACCGACAUUACGCGUACGCUUACGCGAGACUGGUUUCACCGUUCGGAGCACUCGUUGCUUAAAGGUGACUAGCGGGUGUCUGUCUCUCUCACUUUAGUUGAACCGAGUGUGGCUACGCCCGGUCCUUGCGAAGGUUAAAACAGCACCAACUUGACAAACUAUCGUUGUGGUUUUGAUGCGUAGGUAAGAACGGUUCUUGCUAAGCCCGUAGCAGCCACGUAAAACUUGCAACAACAAAGUAGAGGAUGUCUAACUUGUUUUUGCAGGGCAUGCUGUGAUGUGAUAUGGUCAAGACAUGAUGUGAUAUAAUGUGUUGUAUGAGAUGAUCAUGUUUUGUAAUCGAGUUAUCGGCAACUGGCAGGAGCCAUAUGGUUGUCGCUUUAUUGUAUGAGAUGCAAUCGCCAUGUAAUAGUUUUACUUUAUCACUAAGCGGUAGCGAUAGUCGUAAAAGCAAUAAGUUGGCGAGACGACAACGAUACUACGAUGGAGAUCAAGGUGUCGAGCCGGUGACGAUGGUGAUCAUGAUGGUGCUUCGGAGAUGGAGAUCACAAGCACAAGAUGAUGAUGGCCAUAUCAUAUCACUUAUAUUGAUUGCAUGUGAUGUUAAUCCUUUAUGCAUCUUAUCUUGCUUUGAUUGACGGUAGCAUUAUAAGAUGAUCUCUCACUAAAAUUUCAAGAUAAAAGUGUUCUCCCUGAGUAUGCACCGUUGCAAAAGUUCUUCGUGCUGAGACACCACGUGUUAAUCGGGUGUGAUAGGCUCUACGUUCAAAUACAACGGGUGCAAAAUAGUUGCACACGCGGAAUACUCAGGUUAAACUUGACGAGCCUAGCAUAUGUACAGAUAUGGCCUCGGAACACAGAGACCGAAAGGUCGAGCGUGAAUCAUAUAGUAGAUAUGAUCAACAUAGUGAUGUUCACCAUUGAAACUACUCCAUCUCACGUGUUAAUCGGUCAUGGUUUAGUUGCUUUGGAUCACGUAAUCACUUAGAUGAUUAGAGAGAUGUCUAUCUAAGUGGGAGUUCUUAAGUAAUAUGAUUAAUUGAACUUAAAUUUAUCAUGAACUUAGUCCUGAUAGUAUUUUGCAAAUUAUGUUGUAGAUCAAUAGCUCGCGUUGUUGCUUCCCUGUUUAUUUCUGAUAUGUUCCUAGAGAAAAAUUAUGUUGAAAGAUGUUAGUAGCAAAGAUGCGGAUUGGAUCCGUGAUCUGAGGAUUAUCCUCAUUGCUGCACAGAAGAAUUAUGAUGCACCGCUAGGUGACAGACCUAUUGCAGGAGCAGAUGCAGACGUUAUGAAUGUUUGGCUAGCUCAAUAUGAUGACUACUUGAUAGUUUAGUGCACCAUGCUUAACGGCUUAGAAUCGGGACUUCAAAGACGUUUUGAACGUCAUGGACCAUAUGAGAUGUUCCAGGAGUUGAAGUUAAUAUUUCAAGCAAAUACCCGAGUUGAGAGAUAUGAAGUCUCCAACAAGUUCUAUAGCUAAAAGAUGGAGGAGAAUCGCUCAACUAGUGAGCAUGUGCUCAGAUUGUCUGGGUACUACAAUCGCUUGAAUCAAGUGGGAGUUAAUCUUCCAGAUAAAAUAGUGAUUGACAGAAUUCUCUAGUCACCAUCACCAAGUUAGUAGAACUUCGUGAUGAACUAUAGUAUGCAAGGGAUGACGAAAGUAAUUCCCAAGCUCUUCGUGAUGCUGAAAUCGACGAAGGUAGAAAUCAAGAAAAACAUCAAGUGUUGAUGGUUAACAAGACCACUAGUUUCAAGAAAAGGGCAAAGGGAUAGAAGGGGAACUUCAAGUAGAACGGAAAGCAAGUUGCUGCUCAAGUGAAGAAGCCUAAGUCUGGUCCUAAGCCUGAGACUAAGUGCUUCUACUGCAAAGGAACUGGUCACUGGAGGCGGAACUGCCCCAAGUAUUUGGUGGAUAAGAAGGAUGGCAAAGUGAACAAAGGUAUAUUGGAUAUACAUGUUAUUGAUGUGUACUUACUAGUGUUUAUGGCAACCCCUCAGUAUUUGAUACUGGUUCAGUUGCUAAAGAGUAGUAACUCGAAAACGGAGUUGCAGAAUAAACAGAGACUAGUAAAAGGCGAGGUGACGAUGUGUGUUGGAAGUAGUUCCAAGAUUGAUAUGAUCAUCAUCGCACACUCCCUAUACUUUCGGGAUUAGUGUUGAAACUAAAUAAGUGUUAUUUGGUGUUUGCGUUGAGCAUGAAUAUGAUUUGAUCAUGUUUAUUGCAAUACGGUUAUUCAUUUAAGUUAGAGAACAAUUGUUGUUCUGUUUACAUGAAUAAAAACCUUUUAUGGUCAUACACACCAACGAAAAUGGUUUGUUGGAUCUCAGUGAUACACAUAUUCAUAAUAUUGAAGCCAAAAGAUGCAAAGUUAAUAAUGAUAGUGCAACUUAUUUGUGGCACUGCCGUUUAGGUCAUAUUGGUGUAAAGCGCAUGAAGAAACUCCAUACUGAUGGGAUUUUGGAAUCACUUGAUGCUUGCGAACCGUGCCUCAUGGGCAAGAUGACUAAAACGCCGUUCUCCGGAACUAUGGAGAGAGCAACAGAUUUGUUGGAAAUCAUACAUACAGAUGUAUGUGGUCCGAUGAAUAUUGAGGCUCGUAGCAGGUAUCAUUAUUUUCUGACCUUCACAGAUGAUUUGAGCAGAUAUGGGUAUAUCUACUUGAUGAAACACAAGUCUGAAACAUUUGAAAAGUUCAAAGAAUUUCAGAGUGAAGUGGAGAAUCAUCGUAACAAGAAAAUAAAAGUUUCUACGAUAUGAUCGCAGAGGUAAAAUAUUUGAGUUACGAGUUUGGCCUUCAGUCAAAACAAAGUGAAAUAGUUUCACUACUCACGCCACCUGGAACACCACAGCAUAAUGGUGUGUCCGAACGUCAUAACCGUACUUUAUUGGAUAUAGUGCAAUCUAUGAUGUCUCUUACCAAUUUACCACUAUCGUUUUGGGGUUAUGCAUUAGAGACAGCUACAUUCACGUUAAAUAGGGCACCAUCAAAAUCCGUUGAGACGACGCCUUAUGAACUGUGGUUUAGCAAGAAACCAAAGUUGUCGUUUCUUAAAGUUUGGGGUUGUGAUGCUUAUGUGAAAAAGUUUCAUCCUGAUAAGCUCAAACCCAAAUCGGAGAAAUGUAUCUUCAUAUGAUACCCAAAGGAGACAGUUGGGUACACCUUCUAUCACAGAUCCGAAGGCAAGACAUUCGUUGCUUAGUAUGGAUCCUUUCUAGAGAAGGAGUUUCUCUCGAAAGAUGUGAGUGGGAGGAAAGUAGAACUUGAUGAGGUAACUGUACCUGCUCCCUUAUUGGAAAGUAGUUCAUCACAGAAAUCUGUUCCUGUGACUCCUACACCAAUUAGUGAGAAAGUUAAUGAUGAUGAUCAUGUAACUUCAGAUCAAGUUACUACCAAACCUCGUAGGUAAAGCAGAGUAAGAUCCGCACCAGAGUGGUACAGUAAUCCUCUUCUGGAGGUCAUGUUACUAGACCAUGGCGAACCUACGAACUAUGAAGAAGCGAUGGUGAGCCCAGAUUCCGCAAAAUGGCUUGAGGCCAUGAAAUCUGAGAUAAGAUCCAUAUAUGAGAACAAAGUAUGGACUUUGAUUGACUUGCCCAAUGAUCGGCGAGCCAUUGAGAUUAAAUGGAUCUUCAAGAGGAAGACGGACGCUGAUAGUAGUGUAACUAUCUACAAAGCUAGAAUUGUCGCAAAAGGUUUUCGACAAGUUCAAGAUGUUGACUACGAUGAGAGUUUCUCACUCGUAUCUAUGCUUAAGUCUGUCCGAAUCAUGUUAGCAAUUGCCGCAUUUUAUGAAAUAUGGCAAAGGGAUAAACAAAACUGCAUUCCUUAAUGGAUUUAUUAAAGAAGAGUUGUAUAUGAUGCAACCAGGAGGUUUUGUCAAUCCUAUAGGUGCUAACAAAAUAUGCAAGCUCCACCGAUCCAUCUAUGGACUGGUGCAAGCAUCUCGGAGUUGGAAUAUAUACUUUGAUAAGUUUAUCAAAGAAUAUAGUGUUAUACAGACUUGCGGUGAAGCCUGUAUUUACAAGAAAGUGAGUGGGAGCACUACAGCAUUUCUGAUAAGUAUAUGUGAAGGACAUAUUGUUGAUCAGAAAUAAUGUAGAAUUAUUCUGCAAAGCAUAAAGGAGUGUUUGAAAGAAGUUUUUCAAAGAUAGACCUCGGUGAAGCUGCUUACAUAUUGAGCAUCAAGAUCUAUAGAGAUAGAUCAAAACGCUUGAUAAGUUUUUUCAAUGAGUACAUACCUUAACAAGAUUUUGAAGUAGUUCAAAAUAGAACAGUCAAAGAAAGAGUUCUUGCCUGUGUUACAAGGUGUGAAAUUGAGUAAGACUCAAAGCCCGACCACGGCAGAAGAUAGAAAGAGAAUGAAAGUCAUUCCCUAUGCCUUGGCCAUAGGUUCUAUAAAGUAUGCCAUGCUGUGUACCAGAUCUAUUGUAUACCCUACACUGAUUUUGUCAAGGGAGUACAAUAGUGAUCUAGGAGUAGAUCACUGGACAGCGGUCAAAAUUAUCCUUAGUGGAAUAAGGAUAUGUUUCUCGAUUAUGGAAGUGACAAAAGGUUCAUCGUAAAGGGUUACGUCGAUGCAAGUUUUGACACUAAAUCUAGAUGACUCUGAGUCUCGGUCUAGAUACAUAUUGAAAGUGGGAGCAAUUAGCUAGAGUAGCUCCGUGCAGAGCAUUAUAGACAUAGAAAUUUGCAAAAUACUUACGGAUCUGGAUGUGACAGACCCGUUGACUAAAAUUAUCUCACAAUCAAAACAUGAUCACACCUUAGUACUCUUUGGGUGUUAAUCACAUAGCGAUGUGAACUAGAUUAUUGACUCUAGUAAACCCUUUGAGUGUUGGUCACAUAGAGAUGUGAACUAUGGGUGUUAAUCACAUGGUGAUGUGAAUUAUUGAUGUUAAAUCAGAUGGCGAUGUGGACUAGAUUAUUGACUCUAGUGCAAGUGGGAGACUGAAGGAAAUAUGCCCUAGAGGCAAUAAUAAAGUAUUAUAUAUUUCCUUAUAUCAUGAUAAAUGUUUAUUAUUCAUGCUAGAAUUGUAUUAACCGGAAACAUAAUACAUGUGUGAAUACAUAGACAAACAAAGUGUCACUAGUAUGCCUCUACUUGACUAGUUCGUUAAUCAAAGAUGGUUAUGUUUCCUAGCCAUAGACAUGAGUUGUCAUUUGAUUAACGGGAUCACCUCAUUAGGAGAAUGACGUGAUUGACAUGACCCAUUACGUUAGCUUAGCACCCGAUCGUUUAGUAUGUUGCUGUUGCUUUCUUCAUGACUUAUACAUGUUCCUAUGACUAUGAGAUUAUGCAACUCCCGUUUACCGGAGGAACACUUUGUGUGCUACCAAACGUCACAACGUAACUGGGUGAUUAUAAAGGUGCUCUACAGGUGUCUCCAAAGGUACUUGUUGGGUUGGCGUAUUUCGAGAUUAGGAUUUGUCACUCCGAUUGUCGAAGAGGUAUCUCUGGGCCCACUCGGUAAUGCACAUCACUAUAAGCCUUGCAAGCAUUGUGACUAAUGAGUUAGUUACGGGAUGAUGUAUUACGGAACGAGUAAAGAGACUUGCCGGUAACGAGAUUGAACUAGGUAUCGAGAUACCGACGAUCGAAUCUCGGGCAAGUAACAUACCGAUGACAAAGGGAACAACGUAUGUUGUUAUGCGGUCUGACCGAUAAAGAUCUUCGUAGAAUAUGUGGGAGCCAAUAUGGGCAUCCAGGUCCCGCUAUUGGUUAUUGACCGGAGAGGUGUCUCGGUCAUGUCUACAUUGUUCUCGAACCCAAAGGGUCCGCACGCUUAAAGUUACGAUGACAGUUAUAUUAUGAGUUUAUGUGAUUUGAUGUACCGAAGGUUGUUCGGAGUCCCGGAUGUGAUCACGGACAUGACGAGGAGUCUCGAAAUGAUCGAGACGUAAAGAUUGAUAUAUUGGACGACUAUAUUCGGACACCGGAAGUGUUCCGGAGAAGUUUCGGAUUAAACCGGAGUGCCGGAGGGUUACCGGAACCCCCCGGGGAAGUAUUGGGCCUUAGUGGGCCUUGAGGGGAGAGAGAGGGCAGCAGCCAGGAGGUGGUGCGCCCCCUCCCAGAGGAGUCCUAGUUGGACUAGGAGAGGGGGGCGCAGCCCCCUUUCCCUCUCCCUCUCCCUCUCUUUCCUUCCCCCCUUCUUUUCCUAGUAGGACUAGGAAAGGGGAGUCCUACUCCUACUAGGAGGAGGACUCCCCCCCUCUCCUUGGCGCGCCCCAUAGGCAGCCGGCCUCCCCCUUGCUCCUUUAUAUACGGGAGCAGGGGGGCACCUAAGAACACACUUGAUAUACGAUAUUUUAGCCGUGUGCGGUGCCCCCCUCCACCAGAUUACACCUCGAUAAUACCGUCGCGAAGCUUAGGCGAAGCCCUGCGUCGGUGGAACAUCAUCAUCGUCACCACGCCGUCGUGCUGACGAAACUCUCCCUCAACACUCGGCUGGAUCGGAGUUCGAGGGACGUCAUCGAGCUGAACGUGUGUAGAACUUCGGAGGUGCCGUACGUUCGGUACUUGAUCGGUCGGAUCGUGAAGACGUUCGACUACAUCAACCGCGUUGUGAUAACGCUUCCGCUGUCGGUCUACGAGGGUACGUGGACAACACUCUCCCCUCUCGUUGCUAUGCAUCACCAUGAUCUUGCGUGUGCGUAGGAAUUUUUUUGAAAUUACUACGUUACCCAACACUGAGUGCACCGGCUUGAAGAACAGGACUGCAUCAUCCGCAAAAAUAGAUGCCCUCGGCAACCUUGGAUUGCACUCAAGAUCAGAAAGCAACUUGUUCUGCACUGCCCAUUGCAAUAAUCCGUGUAACGUAUCCAUGGCAAGGAUAAAAAGAGUAGGCGACAACGAAUCACCUUUCCUAACCCCCUGACCUAGUGCAAACGGCUGGCACAAAUCUCCAUUGAUGAGAACCGAUGAAGAUGCAGUAGAGAGAAGACCACAAAUCCAGGAGCACCAUCUUCUACCAAAGCCUCUUUUCCGCAAUACCUCGAGAAGGAAUUCCCAAGAUAAAGUGUCAAAGGCUUUGGAUAUGUCGAUCUUCAUCAAAACCGCUUGCUUCCGCUUCUGGUGUAGCCAACGAGCCAUAUUGCGCACAAACUUGAAGUUCUCAUGCAUGUUGCGCUUGCAGAUAAACGCCGUCUGUGCCUGAGAUAUGAGAGCUGGCAGAAAGGGAGCCACACGCACUGCAAGCACCUUGGCAAAAAUCUUGGCAGCCCCAUGAAUUAGAUUUAUAGGCCUGAAGUCGCUCACCUCGAGAGAGUCAGAUUUCUUUGGCAGGAGGGUGAUAAUGGAGGAAUUAAGAUCUCCGAAAGAGAGAAAACGGCCAUCAUACAGAGCCUUCAUCACUGCCAUAAAAUCCUGCGCGAUGACCUCCCAGCAAACCUUAAAAAAUAACCCAGAAAACCCAUCUGGCCUCGGUGCCCUAUCCGAGGGCAUGUCCUGUUGGGGAUCGUAGCAGAAAUUUAAAAUUUUCUACGCAUCACCAAGAUCAAUCUAUGGAGUCAUCUAGCAACGAGAGAGAGGAGUGCAUCUACAUACCCUUGUAGAUCGCGAACGGAAGCGUUCAAGUGAACGGGGUUGAUGGAGUCGUACUCGUCGUGAUCCAAAUCACCGAUGACCGAGCACCGAACGGACGGCACCUCCGCGUUCAACACAUGUACAGAGCAGCGACGUCUCCUCCUUCUUGAUCCAGCAAGGGGGAAGGAGAGGUUGAUGGAGAUCCAGCAGCACGACGGCGUGGUGGUGGAAGUAGCGGGGAUCUCGGCAGGGCUUCGCCAAGCGCAAGCGAGAGGGAGAGGUGUUGCAAGGGGAGAGGGGGGCGCCAGGGGCUGUGGUGCGGCUGCCCGCCCUCCCCUCCACUAUAUAUAGGGGCCCGGGGGGCGCCGGCCCCUGGGAGAUCCAAUCUCCAGGGGGGCGGCGGCCAAGGGGUGGCUUCCCCCCAAGCCAAGUGGGGGGCGCCCCCACCCCUAGGGUUUCCAACCCUAGGCGCAGGGGAGGCCCAAGGGGGGCGCACCAGCCCACCAGGGGCGUCCCCUCCCACUUCAGCCCAUGGGGCCCUCCGGGAUAGGUGGCCCCACCCGGUGGACCCCCGGGACCCUUCCGGUGGUCCCGGUACAAUACCGGUGACCCCCGAAACUUUCCCGGUGGCCGAAACUUGACUUCCUAUAUACAAUUCUUCACCUUCGGACCAUUCCAGAACUCCUCGUGACGUCCGGGAUCUCAUCCGGGACUCCAAACAACUUUGGGGUUACCGCAUACUAAUAUCUCUACAACCCUAGCGUCACCGAACCUUAAGUGUGUAGACCCUACGGGUUCGGGAGACAUGCAGACAUGACCGAGACGACUCUCCGGUCAAUAACCAACAGCGGGAUCUGGAUACCCAUGUUGGCUCCCACAUGUUCCACGAUGAUCUCAUCGGAUGAACCACGAUGUCGAGGAUUCAAUCAAUCCCAUAUACAAUUCCCUUUGUCAAUCGGUAUGUUACUUGCCCGAGAUUCGAUCGUCGGUAUCCCAAUACCUCGUUCAAUCUCGUUACCGGCAAGUCACUUUACUCGUUCCGUAAUGCAUGAUCCCGUGACUAACUGCUUAGUCACAUUGAGCUCAUUAUGAUGAUGCAUUGCCGAGUGGGCCCAGAGAUACCUCUCCGUCAUACGGAGUGACAAAUCCCAGUCUCGAUUCGUGCCAACCCAACAGACACUUUCGGAGAUACCUAUAGUGUACCUUUAUAGCCACCCAGUUACGUUGUGACGUUUGGUACACCCAAAGCAUUCCUACGGUAUCCGGGAGUUGCACAAUCUCAUGGUCUAAGGAAAUGAUACUUGACAUUAGAAAAGAUUUAGCAGACGAACUACACGAUCUUGUGCUAUGCUUAGGAUUGGGUCUUGUCCAUCACAUCAUUCUCCUAAUGAUGUGAUCCCGUUAUCAACGACAUCCAAUGUCCAUGGUCAGGAAACCGUAACCAUCUAUUGAUCAACGAGCUAGUCAACUAGAGGCUUACUAGGGACAUGUUGUGGUCUAUGUAUUCACACAUGUAUUACGAUUUCCGGAUAACACAAUUAUAGCAUGAACAAUAGACAAUUAUCAUGAACAAGGAAAUACAAUUGAUCACUUUGAGCUCAUUAUGAUGAUGCAUUACCGAAUGGGCCCAGAGAUACCUCUCCGUCAUACGGAGUGACAAAUCCCAGUCUCGAUCCGUGUCAACCCAACAGACACUUUCAGAGAUACCUGUAGUGUACCUUUAUAGUCACCCAGUUAUGUUGUGACGUUUGGUACACCCAAAGCACUCCUACGGCAUCCGGGAGUUACACGAUCUCAUGGUCUAAGGAAAAGAUACUUGACAUUGGAAAAGCUCUAGCAAACGAACUACACGAUCUUUGCGCUAUGCUUAGUAUUAGGUCUUGUCCAUCACAUCAUUCUCCUAAUGAUGUGAUCCCGUUAUCAAUGACAUCCAAUGUCCAUAGUCAGGAAACCAUGACUAUCUGUUGAUCAACGAGCUAGUCAACUAGAGGCUUACUAGGGACAUGUUGUGGUCUAUGUGUUCACACAUGUAUUACGAUUUCCGCAUAACACAAUUAUAGCAUGAACAAUAGACAAUUAUCAUGAACAAGGAAAUAUAAUAAUAACCAUUUUAUUAUUGCCUCUAGGGCAUAUUUCCAACAGUCUCCCACUUGCACUAGAGUCAAUAAUCUAGUUACAUUGUGAUGAAUCGAACACCCAUAGAGUUCUGGUGUUGAUCAUGUUUUGCUCUAGGGAGAGGUUUAGUCAACGGAUCUGCUACAUUCAGGUCCGUAUGUACUUUACAAAUAUCUAUGUCUCCAUUUUGAACAUUUUCACGAAUGGAGUUGAAGCGACGCUUGAUAUGCCUGGUCUUCCUGUGAAACCUGGGCUCCUUGGCAAGGGCAAUAGCUCCAGUGUUGUCACAGAAGAGAGUCAUCGGGCCCGACGCAUUGGGAAUCACCCCUAGGUUGGUGGUGAACUCCUUUAUCCAGAUUGCUUCUUGUGCUGCCUCUGAGGCCGCCAUGUACUCCGCUUCACAUGUAGAUCCCGCCACGACGCUUUGCUUGCAACUGCACCAGCUUACUGCCCCUCCAUUCAAAAUAUACACGUAUCCAGUUUGUGACUUAGAGUCAUCCAGAUCUGUGUCGAAGCUAGCAUCGACGUAACCCUUUACGACGAGCUCUUCGUCACCUCCAUACACGAGAAACAUAUCCUUAGUCCUUUUCAGGUACUUUAGGAUAUUCUUGACCGCUGUCCAGUGUUCCAUGCCGGGAUUACUUUGGUACCUUCCUACCAAACUUACGGCAAGGUUUACAUCAGGUCUGGUACACAGCAUGGCAUACAUAAUAGACCCUAUGGCCGAGGCAUAGGGGAUGACACUCAUCUUUGCUCUAUCUUCUGCCGUGGUCGGGCAUUGAGCCGUGCUCAAUUGCACACCUUGCAAUACAGGCAAGAACCCCUUCUUGGACUGAUCCAUAUUGAACUUCUUCAAUAUCUUGUCAAGGUACGUACUCUGUGAAAGACCAAUGAGGCGUCUUGAUCUAUCUCUAUAGAUCUUGAUGCCUAAUAUAUAAGCAGCUUCUCCAAGGUCCUUCAUUGAAAAACACUUAUUCAAAUAGGCCUUUAUACUUUCCAAGAAUUCUAUAUCAUUUCCCAUCAAUAGUAUGUCAUCCACAUAUAAUAUGAGAAAUGCUACAGAGCUCCCACUCACUUUCUUGUAAACACAGGCUUCUCCAUAAGUCUGUGUAAACCCAAACGCUUUGAUCAUCUCAUCAAAGCGAAUGUUCCAACUCCGAGAUGCUUGCACCAGCCCAUAGAUUGAGCGCUGGAGCUUGCAUACUUUGUCAACAUUCUUAGGAUCGACAAAACCUUCCGGCUGCAUCAUAUACAAUUCUUCCUUAAGGAAGCCAUUAAGGAAUGCCGUUUUGACGUCCAUUUGCCAUAUCUCAUAAUCAUAGAAUGCGGCAAUUGCUAACAUGAUUCGGACGGACUUCAGCUUCGCUACGGGUGAGAAAGUCUCAUCGUAGUCAACCCCUUGAACUUGUCGAUAACCCUUAGCGACAAGUCGAGCCUUAUAGAUGGUCACAUUACCAUCCGCGUCUGUCUUCUUCUUAAAGAUCCAUUUAUUUUCUAUGGCUCGCCGAUCAUCGGGCAAGUUAGUCAAAGUCCAUACUUCGUUUUCAUACAUGGAUCCUAUCUCGGAUUUCAUGGCUUCUAGCCAUUUGUCGGAAUCUGGGCCCGCCAUUGCUUCUUCAUAGUUCGAAGGUUCACCAUUGUCUAACAACAUGAUUUCCAGGACAGGGUUGCCGUACCACUCUGGUGCGGAACGUGUCCUUGUGGACCUACGAAGUUCAGCAGUAACUUGAUCCGAAGCUUCAUGAUCAUCAUCAUUAACUUCCUCCCCAGUCGGUGUAGGCACCACAGCAACAUCUUCCCGCGCUGCGCUACUUUCUGGUUCGGAAGGGGUGACUAUCACCUCAUCAAGUUCCACUUUCCUCCCACUUAUUUCUUUCAAGAGAAACUCUUUCUCCAGAAAGGACCCGUUCUUGGCAACGAAGAUCUUGCCUUCGGAUCUGAGGUAGAAGGUAUACCCAAUAGUUUCCUUAGGGUAUCCUAUGAAGACGCAUUUUUCCGAUUUGGGUUCGAGCUUUUCAGGUUGAAGUUUCUUGACAUAAGCAUCGCAUCCCCAAACUUUUAGAAACGACAACUUAGGUUUCUUCCCAAACCAUAAUUCAUACGGUGUCGUCUCAACGGAUUUCGACGGAGCCCUAUUUAAAGUGAAUGCGGCAGUCUCUAAAGCAUAGCCCCAAAAUGAGAGCGGUAGAUCGGUAAGAGACAUCAUAGAUCGCACCAUAUCCAAUAGAGUGCGAUUACGACGUUCGGACACACCAUUUCGCUGAGGUGUUCCAGGCGGCGUGAGUUGUGAAACUAUUCCACAUUUCCUUAAGUGUGUGCCAAAUUCGUGACUCAAUAUUCCCCUCCACGAUCUGAUCGUAAGAACUUUAUUUUUCUGUCACGUUGAUUCUCAACCUCACUCUGAAAUUCCUUGAACUUUUCAAAGGUCUCAGACUUGUGUUUCAUUAGGUAGACAUACCCAUAUCUACUCAAGUCAUCAGUGAGGGUGAGAACAUAACAAUAGCCACCGCGAGCCUCAACACUCAUUGGACCGCACACAUCGGUAUGUAUGAUUUCCAAUAAGUUGGUUGCUCGCUCCAUUGUUCCGGAGAACGGAGUCUUGGUCAUCUUACCCAUGAGGCAUGGUUCGCACAUGUCAAAUGAUUCGUAAUCAAGAGACUCCAAAAGUCCAUCAGCAUGGAGCUUCUUCAUGCGCUUGACACCAAUGUGACCAAGGCGGCAAUGCCACAAGUAUGUGGGACUAUCGUUAUCAACUUUACAUCUUUUGGUAUUCACACUAUGAAUAUGUGUAACAUCACGUUCAAGAUUCAUUAAGAAUAAACCAUUGACCAGCGGGGCAUGACCAUAAAACAUAUCUCUCAUAUAAAUAGAACAACCAUUAUUCUCGGAUUUAAAUGAGUAGCCAUCUCGCAUUAAACGAGAUCCUGAUACAAUGUUCAUGCUCAAAGCUGGCACUAAAUAACAAUUAUUGAGGUUUAAAACUAAUCCCGUAGGUAAAUGUAGAGGUAGCGUGCCGACGGCGAUCACAUCGACCUUGGAACCAUUCCCGACGCGCAUCGUCACCUCGUCCUUCGCCAGUCUCUGCUUAUUCCGCAGCUCCUGUUUUGAGUUACAAAUAUGAGCAACCGCACCGGUAUCAAAUACCCAGGAGCUACUACGAGUACUGGUAAGGUACACAUCAAUUACAUGUAUAUCACAUAUACCUUUAGUGUUGCCGGCCUUCUUGUCCGCUAAGUAUUUGGGGCAGUUCCGCUUCCAGUGACCACUUCCCUUGCAAUAAAAGCACUCAGUCUCAGGCUUGGGUCCAUUCUUUGGCUUCUUCCCAGCAACUGGCUUACCGGGCGCGGCAACUCCCUUGCCGUCUUUCUUGAAGUUUGUCUUACCCUUGCCUUUCUUGAACUUAGUGGUUUUAUUCACCAUCAACACUUGAUGUUCCUUUUUGAUCUCCACCUCCGCUGAUUUCAGCAUUGAAUAUACCUCAGGAAUGGUCUUUUCCAUCCCCUGCAUAUUGAAGUUCAUCACAAAGCUCUUGUAGCUCGGUGGAAGCGACUGAAGGAUUCUGUCAAUGACCGCGUCAUCCGGGAGAUUAACUCCCAGCUGAGACUAGCGGUUGUGUAACCCAGACAUUUUGAGUAUGUGCUCACUGACAGAACUAUUUUCCUCCAUUUUACAACUGAAGAACUUGUCGGAGACUUCAUAUCUCUCGACUCAGGCAUGAGCUUGGAAAACCAUUUUCAGCUCUUCGAACAUCUCAUAUGCUCCGUGUUUCUCAAAACGCUUUUGGAGCCCGGUUCUAAGCUGUAAAGCAUGCCGCACUGAACGAGGGAGUAAUCAUCAGCACGUGAUUGCCAAGCGUUCAUAACGUCUUGGUUCUCUGGGAUGGGUGCGUCACCUAGCGGUGCUUCUAGGACAUAAUCUUUCUUGGCAGCUAUGAGGAUGAUCCUCAGGUUCCGGACCCAGUCCGUAUAGUUGCUGCCAUCAUCUUUCAGCUUGGUUUUCUCUAAGAACGCGUUGAAGUUGAGGGCAACGUGGGCCAUUUGAUCUACAAGACAUAUUGUAAAGAUUUUAGACUAAGUUCAUGAUAAUUAAGUUCAUCUAAUCAAAUUAUUCAAUGAACUCCCACUCAGAUAGACAUCCCUCUAGUCAUCUAAGUGAAACAUGAUCCGAGUCAACUAGGCCGGGUCCGAUCAUCACGUGAGACGGACUAGUCAACAUCGGUGAACAUCUUCAUGUUGAUCGUAUCUUCUAUACGACUCAUGCUCGACCUUUCGGUCUUCCGUAUUCCGAGGUCAUGUCUGUACAUGCUAGGCUCGUCAAGUCAACCUAAGUGUAUUGCGUGUGUUCCGAGGCCAUGUCUGUACAUGCUAGGCUCGUCAACACCCGUUGUAUGCGAACGUUAGAAUCUAUCACACCCGAUCAUCACGUGGUGCUUCGAAACAACAAACCUUCGCAACGGUGCACAGUUAGGGGGAAGACUUUCUUGAAAUUAUUGCGAGGGAUCAUCUUAUUUAAGCUACCGUCGUUCUAAGCAAAUAAGAUGUAAAACAUGAUAAACAUCACAUGCAAUCAAAUAGUGACAUGAUAUGGCCAAUAUCAUUUUGCUCCUUUUGAUCUCCAUCUUCGGGGCGCCAUGAUCAUCUUCGUCACCGGCAUGACACCAUGAUCUCCAUCAUCAUGAUCUCCAUCAUCGUGUCUCCAUGAGGUUGUCACGCCAAUGAUUACUUCUACUUCUAUGGCUAACGCAUUUAGCAAUAAAGUAAAGUAAUUUACAUGGCGUUAUUCAAUGACACGCAGGUCAUACAAAAAAUAAAGACAACUCCUAUGGCUCCUGCCAGUUGUCAUACUCAUCGACAUGCAAGUCGUGAUUCCUAUUACAAGAACAUGAUCAAUCUCAUACAUCACAUAUAUUUCAUUCAUCACAUCCUUUUGGCCAUAUCACAUCACAAGGCAUAUGCUGCAAAAACAAGUUAGACGUCCUCUAAUUAUUGUUGCAUGUUUUUACGUGGCUUCUAUAGGUUUCUAGCAAGAACGUUUCUUACCUACGUAAAACCACAACGUGAUAUGCCAAUUUCUAUUUACCCUUCAUAAGGACCCUUUUCAUCGAAUCUGUUCCGACUAAAGUGUGAGAGACAGACACCCGCUAGCCACCUUAUGCAACUAGUGCAUGUCAGUCGGUGGAACCUGUCUCACGUAAGCGUACGUGUAAGGUCGGUCCGGGCCGCUUCAUCCCACGAUGCCGCCGAAACAAGAUAAGACUAGUGGUGGCAAGAAAAUUGACAACAUCUACGCCCACAACAAGUUUGUGUUCUACUCGUGCAUAGAAACUACGCAUAGACCUAGCUCUGAUACCACUGUUGGGGAUCGUAGCAGAAAUUUAAAAUUUUCUACGCAUCACCAAGAUCAAUCUAUGGAGUCAUCUAGCAACGAGAGAGAGGAGUGCAUCUACAUACCCUUGUAGAUCGCGAGCGGAAGCGUUCAAGUGAACGGGGUUGAUGGAGUCGUACUCGUCGUGAUCCAAAUCACCAAUGACCAAGCGCCGAACGGAUGGCACCUCCGCGUUCAACACACGUACGGAGCAGCGACGUCUCCUCCUUCUUGAUCCAGCAAGGGGGAAGGAGAGGUUGAUGGAGAUCCAGCAGCACGACGGCGUGGUGGUGGAAGUAGCGGGGAUCUCGGCAGGGCUUCACCAAGCGCAAGCGAGAGGGAGAGGUGUUGCAAGGGAAGAGGGAGGCGCCAGGGGCUGUGGUGCGGCUGCCCUCCCUCCCCUCCACUAUAUAUAGGGGCCCGAGGGGGCGCCGGCCCCUGGGAGAUCCAAUCUCCAGGGGGGCGGCGGCCAAGGGGUGGCUUCCCCCCCCCCCCCAAGCCAAGUGGGGGGCGCCCCCAUCCCUAGGGUUUCCAACCCUAGGCGCAGGGGAGGCCCAAGGGGGGGGGCGGACCAGCCCACUAGGGGCUGGUUCCCCUCCCACUUCAGCCCAUGGGGCCCUCCGGGAUAGGUGGCCCCACCCGGUGGACCCCCGGGACCCUUCCGGUGGUCCCGGUACAAUACCGGUGACCCCCGAAACUUUCCCGGUGGCCGAAACUUGACUUCCUAUAUACAAUUCUUCACCUCCGGACCAUUCCGGAACUCCUCGUGACGUCCGGGAUCUCAUCCGGGACUCCGAACAACUUUUGGGUUACCGCAUACUAAUAUCUCUACAACCCUAGCGUCACCGAACCUUAAGUGUGUAGACCCUACGGGUUCGGGAGACAUGCAGACAUGACCGAGAUGACUCUCCGGUCAAUAACCAACAGCGGGAUCUGGAUACCCAUGUUGGCUCCCACAUGUUCCACGAUGAUCUCAUCGGAUGAACCACGAUGUCGAGGAUUCAAUCAAUCCCGUAUACAAUUUCCUUUGUCAAUCGGUAUGUUACUUGCUCGAGAUUCGAUCGUCGGUAUCCCAAUACCUCGUUCAAUCUCGUUACCGGCAAGUCACUUUACUCGUACCGUAAUGCAUGAUCCCGUGACCAACCACUUGAUCACUUUGAGCUCAUUAUGAUGAUGCAUUACCGAGUGGGCCCAGAGAUACCUCUCCGUCAUACGGAGUGACAAAUCCCAGUCUCGAUCAGUGUCAACCCAACAGACACUUUCAGAGAUACCUGUAGUGUACCUUUAUAGUCACCCAGUUACGUUGUGACGUUUGGUACACCCAAAGCACUCCUACGGCAUCCGGGAGUUACACGAUCUCAUGGUCUAAGGAAAAGAUACUUGACAUUGGAAAAGCUCUAGCAGACGAACUACACGAUCUUUGCGCUAUGCUUAGUAUUGGGUCUUGUCCAUCACAUCAUUCUCCUAAUGAUGUGAUCCCGUUAUCAAUGACAUCCAAUGUCCAUAGUCAGGAAACCAUGACUAUCUGUUGAUCAACGAGCUAGUCAACUAGAGGCUUACGAGGGACAUGUUGUGGUCUAUGUGUUCACACAUGUAUUACGAUUUCCGCAUAACACAAUUAUAGCAUGAACAAUAGACAAUUAUCAUGAACAAGGAAAUAUAAUAAUAACCAUUUUAUUAUUGCCUCUAGGGCAUAUUUCCAACAUGUCCAUGAUAACCUUCUUGACCUCCUCUUCCUUGAAAGAAGCUUCCAGACUACUUGACAUCUUAGGUGAGAGCUGACCCAAAUGUAGAGCAUCAAGACAGAUAGAAUGUCCACUUCGGUCCGGGACACCCAUGAGUUUACUGAAGAAUUGCCUCGCCAUGUCCAGCUUGUCCUCACUUGCCGUGACCGUCUGGUUGCCUGACUUGAGGUACGGGACCAAGUGUUUUCUGCGCCUCCCAUUUGCCUUCAUAUGGAAGUACUUAGAGUUUGCAUCACCCUCCUAAAGGUCACGCACCCUCGCGCGCUGCCUUAAGCGCACCCUCUCCAGAGACGCAAAGGCCAAACAUUUGCCCUUCGGAAAUGCUUUCAGACUACUCUCACUCUCCGACAGAGGCCUGAACUCUUGUGCUGCAUCGAGCCGCAAAAUGACCUCGCUAGCCAUCUGGAACUGCAGAUUAAGCCGGCUCAUACUCUUCUGACCCCAACUCCUUAAGGCUUUAGCCGUGCGCAGAAAUUUGAUGCUCAGGAUCCUCAUUGGGUCGCUACCAAAAACCUCUUGGCCCCAUGCUUCCUUCACAACAUCCAUGAAACCGGGAAGUUUGCACCAAAAAUUUUCAAAGUGAAAACGUCCAGUCCGCGGUCUAGCCGCACAACAGGAGAGCAGCAAGGGUGUGUGAUCUGAAAUAUUAGAACUGAGCGGCAGCAGAUCACUAAUGGGGUGAAUAUCUUCCCAGUCAUUGUUGAAGAGCACCCUGUCCAGCCUGGCCAUUACAGAUCACUCCUGCUGAUUGCACCAAGUGAAUCGCCUGCCCAUCAUCGGCAUAUCAUGCAGCCCCAGUCUGUUAAUGGUGUGUCUGAAUUUAGACAUGAGUCUUCUGUUACCCCUCCCUGAGCUGCGCUCCUCCUCGGAACAGAUCAAGUUAAAGUCACCAUUUAAGAUCCAAGGCAAGUGAACUUGCUCACCAAACUGCAGCAGCUGCUCCAGAAAUCGCAAUUUAUCAUCAUCACCUUGAGGCCCAUAUACUGAGGAAACCAUCCAUUCUCUACCAUCCUCCAGUGAGAGAACCUGAGCAGAGAUCAUAAAUUCAUCUUUCUGAAUAUUGGAGAGCCGUAGCUUGUCCGAUUUCCAUGCCAUCAAAAUGCCACCUCUCGUGCCUUCCGCCGGAAGAAAAUCAAAGCCAUCAAAAGCGGGACCCAAAGUCUCACAAACCACCGCCGCAUCCAACAGUUCCAUCUUAGAUUCUUGCAAACAAACUAGAGAGAUGUUGUAGGACUGGGAGAACAGUCUGAUCGAGCACCUCCUAGCAGGGUUAUUAAGCCCCCUUACAUUCCACACUAAAACACCUAGAGAGACCUCCAUAACACAAAUAAUUGGACCACUGCAACCACACACUCACACCUAGACGCCACAUGGCUCCACUGCUUCAGGAAGGGAGAAGUCGCUGAAACCCUGCUGCAUUGGCUCAUCGAAGUCAGCUUCACCAGGGGCAAAGAGGGCGAUCACAGCUUUGACAUGGUUUGGUGCCAGGGGUUUGUCGAACAGCUUGAUAUACUCGUCCAGAGCAUCAUCAGAUACCUGCUCCUCUGCCUGAAUAACUCCCAGCUGCCGGAGCAGAACAGCUUGAGCACGCCGUACUGGACCCAAAUUAGACCCACCCGCAGCUUUGUUCAGUCGAGCACUCCUCCUCGGGGUGAAAUUGGGCGGCAGCUGUUUCUUCUUGCGCGUCGGAGCCAAAGCCGACGGCCUGGGCCCCAGGAUGGAGGGGACCGGGGAACACCCAAGUCCUUGCCAAAGCGUAUCCUCCGCCGAUAAGGGGCCGACCUUCACACGCGGAAUCAGCUGAUGCUCCGCCAGAGGAAUGGCAACCGGAGUACGCGCGGGACUAUGGCUGGCCUCACGCCGACAAGGGAUCUGAAUGGAGAGGCUACCUCCCGAGUUAUGCAUCAGAUCAGUGACAGGCACCUCACAUGAACUCCUGUCCUCCUCAGCUCCGUCUUGAACCACCGUGCAUUCAUCACGCUGGACCACUGCACGAUCCACCAGAGGAGCCGAAUGGCUCCCAUCGGCAGAGAGCGACACAAGCACCACCAAAGCCUGAUCAUCCGCCCCCAUAGAUCCCAUCUCCAUGGCCCCCUCCUUCCUCCCCGGCGUGGCCACCUCCUUGAAAGGUGGGCUGAAGGACAGCCUACAUGGUGCAGCAGUGACCCAGAGGGCAGCACGGUCCAGGGUUGGCGUCGAGACCAGGGCACCCGAGCCUACCGCCGUGGGUGCGGCCGAGAGGUGAAGAUUUGGCAUGGCGCCUCCCGCACCCGAGCCCACCGCUGUCGAGGCCAGAGAGCCUGGCGUGCCCCGAGAGCAUGAAAGCCCGCCGGACCUCUCGACCGACGCCUCCCCCGAUGGCAGCUUUGCUCCUGAAGUAUGCGGACCCCAAGACAGCGCCCGGCCGCCCGCAGGCGGAAGAACACCAUUGACGCGGCGACCUCCGCCCCAGUCGCCCGCCAUGCCGUAUCCGCCCGGGCCACCAAAAUGUUGAGCACCUGAAUUGGGUACACCCCCACGACCUGUGCCAUCGAUUCUUCCCCGGAAGCAGCUACGAGAGUAGUCAUGCCUUCUUGUAAGGUCCUCGUCGUCGUCAGGCUCGACAUUGGGCCUGAACUGGAGAUAGGGGACGGUGCGGUCCACCACAUCCAGCACAUGAAUGGUGAGGGGGUGGAUCAGAGUCGGCCUCUCUGUCGGAGGCGAGGGAUGCGGCGGCGACACCGUGAACUCCUCAUCAAGCGAGUCCGGCAGGCCGACCGGCUCCGGAAUCUCCAUGUCGUAGAUCUUUGGGAUGCCCGAAGGAUUCUUCAUCCAAGAGGUGACCUCGAGCUGCCAGCGGUCGUCCGACGGCAGGAUCUCCACCAGUUGACCAUUCAGAUUGUUGAUCAGUUGACUGAUUGCCCCGCACUCCCACGCGCUAGCCGGCAUCCCCUCGAUCCCGAGCUUGCAGAAGAAAUCCAGCUUGCCGCUGGAAGCCUGAGCGCACCUAUGCCACCUCUGAAAAGAGACGGGCGCGCCCGCACAGCGCAGCUUGCCGGAGAACGAGAAGACGUUGUCGCAGUCCGCGUUCGAGGCGAAGGUGAUGAAGAAAUCUGCCGGGUGAGUGACCUCCACCCCGACGUGCCUCCUCUCGAUCCCGCAGAUCCUGGCCAGGGACUGGACCAGCGCCUCAGGGGAGACGGCGGGCCGCCUUCCCCCCACCGUGGUGAGCAGCGCCCUAUUGCGGAAAUCCGCCUCGAGCUCCACCAUCCCCGGCGUACGCGAAAUGAUGCCGCCGCCCCUCUUAGGCCGCAGAUCCGGGUCACCGUGGGUGAGGAGCUCCCCGGGGAAGCGUUGAAGAGCAAGCGGCGGGUAGUGCGCCAUGUUGAGCGGCGGAGGUGGACGGCGAUGCGGGCGCUGGGCCGGAGCAGGGCGAGGGCGUUGCUGGGCUGCACGAGGAGUGGCCUUGGCGGCGCCGCACGAGGAGUGGCCUUGGCUGGAUCUGGAAUGAGGAGGGGGUUGGUGGAGCGACGAGCUUGGGGAAAAAGAGCAGUCACGGGCGAGAUGUCCCGAGACCCAGCACUUAUGACAGCGAAUCUCGCCGGAGCAUUUAGCUUUCUGGUGCCCCUCAUCCAGGCACUUAAAGCACCUGCCCAGAAGCCACCGGGGAAUCCAAAGCUUGGAGCUAGCGGGGUGAUGGACGGUGGGGGCCGCCACAUAACGGGGCUGGCGACGACGGUUGCGGACCUGGAUCCAUCCUUCACAAUCCGGCUCCAAAUCGACAGAGGCAGGCCGCGAGCGGCCCGGCAGAGGAACAUCCGCAGAUGUGCGGGACGAAGCAGCCGUACCGGAACCGUGCCGUCUGUGAGCGUUAUCUGGCCGACGGCCCUCGGAGCAAGGAACCGGCGGGUGGGGUUGUGGGUGGGGAUGCGGAUGUGGGAUCCGGCGGCCGUGGAUUGGUCCGUUGGCGGCGGCCGGAGCCUGGGAGCGAGACGACCGUUGGUGGGGGCGAGCCAUCUCUCCUUCAAUAGCUAUCUAAUCUCUAACCGAUGUGGGACUACUUAACUGCACAAUCCAAUGUGUCCUCUCCUUGUUAAUACUAUUAGGAAAACCCUCUUACAUAAACACAAAUAUUUGCUGUCUCAAUUGGCUAUCGGAGUCUACUUCGCACGGCAGCAUGGGAGCUCACGUGUUCAAAUCCCACACCACCCGCAACCAAUAUUUUUUAACUGGCUCAACCUUUUGGGGUUGUGGCGGAAGGCCUAGCGGAGGGAGCGCAGGCCUAGCCGAGCGGCCCACCUGCCUGGCACGGCCCGUAAGAAUAGCGCAAAGAACGUACGAAAAUUUUCCGACAGCACGAACCCUUUUUUUUAUGAUGAAGUGCGGGUUGAUUCUAAAAAACAUAAGGGGUUUUAUGUAAAAACGCGCACGACAGACCAAGAAUACCUAUUCCCUUUGAUAGUAGGUAUAGAUAUAGAUAUGUGUAGAAGUGAAUUUAAUGGAAAAAAAUGGACGAGAGGUCAUUUACGAAAACCAUUAGCAGCUGGAUUAUCAUGGUAUAAUCCACCUCAACCUCAGUCCAAAAGCCAAAACCAAUGAAGAAGGACAAAAGUGAAACUGGUUGCUCGAUUAAAGGCUGUUGCGUGCGGAUGAAGAGUGUUGUUGAUCAUGGUGCCGUUGCUGUUGGCCACCUCGAAGCUUUUCCUUGCCUCGCUGUGGCAGCACUAGCAGGCACCGAAAGCCACCCUGCUGUAUUGUCCACAAUGAUGAGUGGUGGUAACCGUGCAUUCCCCGUGAACGAUGAGAGGAAGGAAGCAGGAGGUAGGAGAUGGCAGGAAGGAACGGCCUCAAUAAGUCGAAUGAAGCAACAAGGUUAGCACGUGGGAUUUCGCCGAAGGAAAACCAGAACCGCUGCCCAAGUGCCGAGUCGUGCAGGGCGAUCGUGGACUUGGGACGUCCUAAAAGUAUUUUAAUGCUACCCGCAAAAAAAAGUAUUUUAAUGCGUUAUAAGCUCGUUCGCAACGUUUUUUGCAGUCGGAUGAUACGUGUGCCAUACUGUCAUGGUCAAUUUCUCUCGAGAACAAGCACCGUUUUUUCUUUUACCAAAAAGAACAGGCACUGUUUGUGGUACAAGUACAAGAGAGAAGGCAACAGCACCGGUACAUUUUUUAUAUAUAAAAAAAACAGCACCGGUACAUUUUAGUAGUACAUCUGGUGUGGGUGGCGGGGCCGUUGACGGUUGAGCACGUCUUGGCAGCUGAUUUUCCACCUCAUGUGCAUACCCGCUUUCCUGUUGAUCGCUUCAACACAACACUGCUCCUCCUCCCUAAUUUUCUAACACUAAACAAACCAAACCAAUUCAUCAUCAUCAUCGCCGCCACCACCACCACCAUCAUCAUCUCUUCUUCUCCAAAUAACAAAUCAGCGCUUCGCCAAAUCCCACCCACCACCUGCUCCCCUCGCCCUUCUCCUAAAUCGCAAGCACUUCCUCCGCCUUCCGCGUUCUUGAUGCAACAGACAGUCCUGCGAUUUCAGUAGCCAGGAAGGAGAAAGGGGGCAGGCGCCGUUUUCUGUCCUGAGAGGAGAUCUUGCUGGUCUAGUCUUGGUUGUUGAGGCAGGGAGAUUAAGAGCCGAGGGAGGGAGGGAGAUGUCUCGUGGCGGCGGCUACGGGGAGAUGGGGCAGAAGAUCGACUACGUGUUCAAGGUGGUGCUCAUCGGCGACUCCGCCGUCGGCAAGUCGCAGCUGCUGGCCCGGUUCGCGCGCAACGAGUUCAGCCUCGACUCCAAGGCCACCAUCGGCGUCGAGUUCCAGACCAAGACCCUCCAGAUCGACAACCGCACCGUCAAGGCCCAGAUCUGGGACACCGCGGGACAAGAGAGGUAAAUAUUUCACUAAUCACUAAUCAAACCCCAAACCCACCCUGCUAGCUGUAUCUUGGCCUCGAUCAUUUUAUUGUAUUGUAUUGUAUUGUAUUGGAGAAGCAUAUUAUUGUACAUAUAGGCCAUGAUGUACUACAGCACUACUAGCCCGCGGUAGUAAUUAUCUUCUUGUCUGUUUCUCUAGUUAUUAUGAAUGAAUGAAGUUUGUUGUAUGGAAAUGUGGAAUGCAGCUAGGCUUCUAGUUUCCUCUAUAUAUUGGUUUCGCGCAUGGUCCGGUCCUUGGUCAGUGCAAUAGUGAUGGAUAUGUUUGGUCUCUGCAAUUAUGUUGGAAUUAAUACACUGUCUGCUUUAAAAGGGAAUUAUUGUUCCUUGUGUUCCUUGCUCUGAUGAGGUGUCCUCGCCCGAAAAUUAUGUUCAGAAUUGGGGUGUUUCUAGUUCUCAUCUAACUCCUACACCGUUGGAUCUUACAUGAAGAUUCGUGGGGAUUCUUUCUUUUAUUUAUUUUUUGUUUGGUUAAUCAAAUAGUGUAGGAGUUAGAUGAGACUUUGUUAAUUCUCAUCUAGAUGAGAAUUAGCAAAUCCGUUAGAAUUGACAUACAGAUGUUACGCCUGUUCAUUUACAACGACACAAAUACUUCCAUGGUAACAAAUUUGAUGUUUGUUCGAUCCAAAUGUGGAUCAGAUAGUUGCAUCAGAAUAGCAUGCCUUACAUUUUGACACCUAUCUGAAAUUACAGUUACCUAUUAUCAUACAUAAUUGCAAUUAGGGGUAAGAUUAGAAUCUCCCGAAAAACUUUAAACAACUUCUCAUGGCACAUUAAGCAGCUUAGAUGAUAAGCCUCGGCAUCAGCCUAUGGCACCUAAUAGCAAUGUCUUUUGGCAGCACCUAAUAGUACCAGGUCUAUCAGUUUUUUCAUGAUUUUUUUCUUAAUUUUGCAAAUGAACAGUACUGAUUGUUGUUGUAAGUGAACGCUAACAGUAACAAUAGCCUACCCCAGCUUGCUUUCUUAUCUGAUUGUUCACUUUCAACAUCUAAACCAGCUGCACUGAAUGUGGUAACAGGUACCGAGCGGUAACCAGUGCCUACUACAGAGGCGCAGUAGGAGCUAUGCUAGUAUAUGACAUGACCAAGCGCCAGUCCUUCGACCAUAUGGCGCGGUGGCUCGAGGAAUUGCGAAGCCAUGCUGACAAGAACAUCGUCAUCAUGCUCAUCGGGAACAAAUCGGACCUGGGCACGCUCCGGGCUGUCCCGACAGAGGAUGCCAAGGAGUUUGCCGAGCGCGAGAGCCUCUUCUUCAUGGAGACGUCCGCUCUCGAGGCCACCAAUGUUGAGAAGGCCUUCAUGACAGGCCUCGAGGAGAUAUACCGCACUGUCAGCAAGAAAAACCUUGUCGCCAACGACGAGGCUAACUCCGGCGGGAACUCCAGCUUGCUGAAAGGAACGAAAGUUAUCAUCCCUGGCCAGGAGCCGGCCCCUCCGGCCAAGGCAGCAUGUUGUAUGUCCUCCUAGAUCCAUCUUGUUUCUGGCAGGUAAAGUUUCUAAGUUGAUCUCGCGGUAUCGACACGCUGAAUGGGUGGGAUUCUUGGGAGGAGGGAUGUAAUUACAUGAAUAGGUGACUCACAUAAAUUGUAAUCUUGUUGAUGAUUAGAAUUUGUAUCUGAUUAUACGGUGGCAUACAGUUAUCACGAAUCCUUCUAUUUGGGAUGUAAUUAGCCCAACCUUUCGUGCUGGUUUUGCUGUUCUCCCCCCUUUGCUCUCCACAAACAUACUAGACCGAAAGCGUGUGCUGCCGCGUAUAUCUGUCAACGAACUACAGAACGACAUGAGAAAAAUCGGAAGGGCCGGCUGAUACAAAUAUCUGAAUACUUUGGUUGCAUGCAUCCUACUAGUUGUAUAGAACCUGGGUGUGAGCUUGUUUUGUUUUAUAUCCGCUUGAUACGGCAUUAUGAGUUGAUAAAGUACCCUUUAUUGAGAAAUAAUGUCUGAAUACUAAUACAAGAGUACUGUCAAUGUUGGUACUCCGUUCAUCUCUGUCUUACCGUUCGUCAGGAGUACAGCAUGGUAAGCACAGGUGGCAUGAACCAUAUUAUGCAUUGUUUGAAUUGUACAGACUAAAAACAACAAGAUAUAGCAACUACUUAGGUAUUGCUAUGAUGAUUUAUUAAAUAUAGGCUUAAGUGCACUAUGAGGAUCCUUUGGUUGAGAUAUAGACGGCUUCUUGGCUGUAAUUUUGUAGUGUAGUUAUGAUGAUAUAUUGACCCCGUUAAUUCUAAAUCCUAGCACCCUAAGCCAUUAUAUUUCCGCAUUCGCUAAACAUCAAGCACCUGAAAAGAAAUUUUGUGUCGGUCACUUUUUUCUGCUCCGCCCCGAGCGCGGGACAGAAAGGCCGUGGACUCCAUGGCACGUGCGAGCCGUGAACGAGCGGGAACCGGUGACGCUGCAGAGUCGAAGGCGGGAGCAUGUCCGAAACCUGACUGGUGUGGGUCGGGGGUGCAGGGUGGUCGUUGGUGUUGUACAAUGGGCCAGCACCGUGGUGGAAGGUUGAGGAGAGGGUGAGGCGGCAACGCGGCGCGCGGUAGCCCCCACCGGUCUCCGGCUGGCGAUUAGACAAUCAUUGAUUUUCUCUGACAACAAUGUACAACAACACGAUAACAAUAUUCAUUCAUACAUGAGAAGCAACAAAAUAAUUCGGUGCGCACUAGCAUCUAAGCAGUGCAUAAUUCACAACAAUCUACUUCCUCCGUCCGAAAAUAUUUGUCCUAGAAAUGGUUGUAUCUAGACUUAUUUUAAUUAUAGAUACAUCCAUUUUGUUGGACCAGCAUCUAUGGUUCGAGCCACUACCAACCCUCUGCGUCACGGCGCGCCAACCAAGGACAAGCAGAAAUCACUCCUUCUAUUCCUAGCCUAGCAUCAGCCACUAGGUUCGGACCUAAUGCCUCCACCGUAGAAAGCGCCAGCACGUGCCUCUCUAAGCAGUCUCGAUGAACUAGGGGGACACAACGCAGUGACUAUUGAUGGCCACCUUUGGGCAAGCACCGAACCAAGCCCUCUGGUCUGCAACCUAUGCAGCAACCACGUCAGGUCACCGCCAUCACCCCGCGCCACUUGUUGGAAAUAUGCCCUAGAGGCAAUAAUAAAAUGGUUAUUAUUAUAUUUCCUUGUUCAUGAUAAUUGUCUAUUGUUCAUGCUAUAAUUGUGUUAUCCGGAAAUCGUAAUACAUGUGUGAAUACAUAGACCACAACAUGUCCCUAGUAAGCCUCUAGUUGACUAGCUCGUUGAUCAAUAGAUGGUUACGGUUUCCUGACCAUGGACAUUGGAUGUCGUUGAUAACGGGAUCACAUCAUUAGGAGAAUGAUGUGAUGGACAAGACCCAAUCCUAAGCAUAGCACAAGAUCGUGUAGUUCGUCUGCUAAAUCUUUUCUAAUGUCAAGUAUCAUUUCCUUAGACCAUGAGAUUGUGCAACUCCCGGAUACCGUAGGAAUGCUUUGGGUGUACCAAACGUCACAACGUAACUGGGUGGCUAUAAAGGUACACUAUAGGUAUCUCCGAAAGUGUCUGUUGGGUUGGCACGAAUCGAGACUGGGAUUUGUCACUCCGUAUGACGGAGAGGUAUCUCUGGGCCCACUCGGCAAUGCAUCAUCAUAAUGAGCUCAAUGUGACUAAGCAGUUAGUCACGGGAUCAUGCAUUACGGAACGAGUAAAGUGACUUGCCGGUAACGAGAUUGAACGAGGUAUUGGGAUACCGACGAUCGAAUCUCAGGCAAGUAACAUACCGAUUGACAAAGGGAAUUGUAUACGGGAUUGUUUGAAUCCCCGACAUCGUGGUUCAUCCGAUGAGAUCAUCAUGGAACAUGUGGGAACCAACAUGGGUAUCCAGAUCCCGCUGUUGGUUAUUGGCCGGAGAGAUGUCGCGGCCAUGUCUGCAUGAUUCCCGAACCCGUAGGGUCUACACACUUAAGGUUCGGUGACGCUAGAGUUGUUAUGGAAAUUAGUAUGCGGUUACCGAAUGUUGUUCGGAGUCCCGGAUGAGAUCCCGGACGUCACGAGGAGUUCCGGAAUGGUCCGGAGAUAAAGAUUUAUAUAUGGGAAGUCCUUAUUCGGUCACCGAAAGUGUUCGGGGGUUUAUCGGUAUUGUACCGGGACCACCGAAAGGGUUCCGGGAGGGUCCACCUGCCCCGGAGGGCCCUAUGGGCUGAAUAUGGAGGGGAACCAGCCCCUAGGUGGGCUGGGCGCCAAACCCCCCUAGGGCCCAUGCGCCUAGGGUUGGGGGGAAACCCUAAAGGGGGCGUCCCCCUUGGCUUGGGGGGCAAGCCUCCCCCCCUUGGCCGCCGCCCCCCCUCUAGAUCCAUCUGGAGGGGGCCGGCCCCCCUCUCCCUUGCCCCUAUAAAUAGAGGGGAGGUGGGAGGGCUGCUGCACCCCUUCCCCUGGCGCAGCCCUCUCCCUCCCCAACACCCCCUCCUCCGUAGUGCUUGGCGAAGCCCUGCCGGAGAACUGCAAGCUCCACCACCAUGCCGUCGUGCUGCCGGAGCUCUUCCCCAACUUCUCCUUCCCCCUUGCUGGAUCAAGAAGGAGGAGACAUCCCCGGGCUAUACGUGUGUUGAACGCGGAGGCGCCGUUGUUCGGCGCUUAGACCGGAAUCAACCGCGAUCCGAAUCGCUGCGAGUACGACUCCUUCAUCCACGUUCUUGUAACGCUUCCGCGUCGCGAUCUUCAAGGGUAUGAAGAUGCACUCCCCUCUCACUCGUUGCUAGUCUCUCCAUAGAUUGAUCUUGGUGAUGCGUAGAAAUUUUUUAAUUUCUGCAACGAUCCCCAACAGUGGCAUCAUGAGCUAGGUCUAUGCGUAGUUUCUAUGCACGAGUAGAACACAAGUUGUUGUGGGCGUCGAUUUUGUCAAUUUACUUGCCGUUACUAGUCUUAUCUUGAUUCGGCGGCAUCGUGGGAUGAAGCGGCCCGGACCGACCUUACAUGUACGCUUACGUGAGACAGGUUCCACCGACUGACAUGCAAUAGUUGCAUAAGGUGGCUAGCGGGUGUCUGCCUCUCCCACUUUAGUCGGAUCGGAUUCGAUGAAAAGGGUCCUUAUGAAGGGUAAAUAGAAAUUGGCAUAUCACGUUGUGGUUUUGGCGUAGGUAAGAAACGUUCUUGCUAGAAACCUAUAGCAGCCACGUAAAAACUUGCAACAACAAUUAGAGGACGUCUAACUUGUUCUUGCAGCAUAUGCCGUGUGAUGUGAUAUGGCCAAAAGGAUGUGAUGAAUGAUAUAUGUGAUGUAUGAGAUUGAUCAUGUUCUUGUAAUAGGAAUCACGACUUGCAUGUCGAUGAGUAUGACAACCGUCAGGAGCCAUAGGAGUUGUCUUAAUUUAUUGUAUGACCUGCGUGUCAAUGAAAACGCCAUGUUACUUUACUUUAUUGCUAAAUGCUAGCCAUAGUAGUAGAAGUAACAGUUGGCGAGACAACUUCAUGAAGACACGAUGAUGGAGAUCAUGGUGUCAUGCCGGUGACGAUGAUGAUCAUGGCGCCCCGAAGAUGGAGAUCAAAAGGAGCAAAAUGAUGUUGGCCAUAUCAUGUCACUAUUUGAUUGGAUGUGAUGUUUAUCAUGUUUUACAUCUUAUUUGCUUAGAACGACGGUAGCUUAAAUAAGAUGAUCCCUCGCUAUAAUUUCAAGAAAGUGUUCCCCCUAACUGUGCACCGUUGCGAAGGCUCGUUGUUUCGAAGCACCACGUGAUGAUCGGGUGUGAUAGAUUCUAACGUUCGAAUACAACGGGUGUAAGCCAGAUUCACAUAUGCAAAAACACUUAGGUUGACUUGACGAGCCAUGUACAGACAUGGCCUCGGAACACAAGAGACCGAAAGGUCGAACAUGAGUCGUAUAGUAGAUACGAUCAACAUGAAGAUGUUCACCGUUGAUGACUAGUCCAUCUCACGUGAUGAUCGGACACGGCCUAGUCAAUUCGGAUCAUGUAUCACUUAGAUGACUAGAGGGAUGUCUAUCUGAGUGGGAGUUCAUUAAAUAAUUUGAUUAGAUGAACUUAAUUGUCAUGAACUUACUCUAAAUAUCUUUACAAUAUGUCUUGUAGAUCAAAUGGCCCACGCUAAUGUUGCCCUCAACUUCAACGCGUUCCUAGAGAAAACCAAGCUGAAACACGAUGGUAGCAACUAUACGGACUGGGUCCGUAACUUGAGGAUCAUCCUCAUAGCUGCCAAGAAAGCAUAUGUCCUUGAAGCACCGCUAGGUGAAGUGCCCAUUUUCCCAGCAACUCAAGACGUUAUGAACGCCUGGCAGUCGCGUAGUGAUGAUUACUCCCUGGUUCAGUGCGGCAUGCUUUACAGCUUAGAACCGGGGCUCCAAAAGAGUUUUGAGCAACACGGAGCAUAUGAGAUGUUCCAAGAGCUGAAAAUGGUUUUCCAAGCUCAUGCCCGGGUCGAGAGAUAUGAAGUCUCCGACAAGUUCUACAGCUGUAAGAUGGAGGAGAAUAGUUCUGUCAGCGAGCACAUACUCAAAAUGUCUGGGUUGCACAACCGCUUGUCUUAGCUGGGAGUUAAUCUCCCGGAUGACGCGGUCGUUGACAAAAUCCUUCAGUUGCUCCCACCUAGCUACAAGAGCUUUGUGAUGAAUUUCAAUAUGCAGGGGAUGGAGAAAACCAUUCCUGAGGUAUAUUCAAUGCUGAAAUCAGCGGAGGUGGAGAUCAAAAAGGAACAUCAAGUGUUGAUGGUCAAUAAAACCACUAGUUUCAAGAAAGGCAAGGGUAAGAAGAACUUCAAGAAGGACGGCAAGGGAGUUGCCGCGCCCGGUAAGCCAGUUGCCGGGAAGAAGCCAAAGCAUGGACCCAAGCCUGAGACUGAGUGCUUUUAUUGCAAGGGAAAUGGUCACUGGAAGCGGAACUGCCCCAAGUACUUAGCGGAUAAGAAGGCCGGCAAUACCAAAGGUAUAUAUGAUAUACAUGUUAUUGAUGUGUACCUUACCAGCACUCGUAGUAGCUCUUGGGUAUUUGAUACCGGUGCGGUUGCUCAUAUUUGUAACUCAAAACAGGAGCUGCGGAAUAAGCGGAGACUAGCGAAGGAUGAGGUGACGAUGCGCGUCGGGAAUGGUUCUAAGGUCGAUGUGAUCGCCGUCGGCACGCUACCUCUACAUUUACCUACGGGAUUAGUUUUAAACCUCAAUAAUUGUUAUUUAGUGCCAGCUUUGAGCAUGAACAUUGUAUCUGGAUCUCGUUUAAUGCGAGAUGGCUACUCAUUUAAAUCUGAGAAUAAUGGUUGUUCUAUUUAUAUGAGAGAUAUGUUUUAUGGUCAUGCCCCGCUGGUCAAUGGUUUAUUCUUAUUGAAUCUUGAACGUGAUGUUACACAUAUUCAUAGUGUGAAUGCCAAAAGAUGUAAGGUUGAUAAUGAUAGUCCCACAUACUUGUGGCACUGCCGCCUUGGUCACAUUGGUGUCAAACGCAUGAAGAAACUCCAUGUAGAUAGACUUUUGGAGUCUCUUGAUUAUGAAUCAUUUGACAAGUGCGAACCAUGCCUUAUGGGAAAAAUGACCAAGACUCCGUUCUCCGGAACAAUGGAGCGAGAAACCAACUUAUUGGAAAUCAUACAUACUGAUGUGUGCGGUCCAAUGAGCGUUGAGGCUCGCGGUGGUUAUCGUUAUGUUCUCACCCUCACUGAUGACUUAAGUAGAUAUGUGUAUGUCUACUUAAUGAAACACAAGUCUGAGACCUUUCAAAAGUUCAAGGAAUUUCAGAGUGAGGUUGAGAAUCAACAUGACAGGAAAAUAAAGUUCUUACGAUCAGAUCGUGGACGGGAAUAUUUAAGUCACGAAUUUGGCACGCACUUAAGGAAAUGUGGAAUCGUUUCACAACUCACGCCGCGUGGAACACCUCAGUGUAAUGGUGUGUCCGAACAUCGUAAUCGUACUCUGUUGGACAUGGUGCGAUCUAUGAUGUCUCUUACCGACCUACCACUAUCAUUUUGGGGUUAUGCUUUAGAGACUACCGCAUUCACUUUAAAUAGGGCUCCGUCGAAAUCCGUUGAGACGACACCGCAUGAAUUGUGGUUUGGGAAGAAACCUAAGCUGUCGUUUCUAAAAGUUUGGGGAUGCGAUGCUUAUGUCAAGAAACUUCAACCUGAAAAGCUCGAACCCAAACUGGAAAAAUGCGUCUUCAUAGGAUACCCUAAGGAAACUAUAGGGUAUACCUUCUACCUCAGAUCCGAAGGCAAGGUGUUUGUUGCCAAGAAUGGAUCCUUUCUGAAGAAAGAGUUUCUCUCGAAAGAAGUAAGUGGGAGGAAAGUAGAACUUGAUGAGGUAUUGCCUCUUGAACCGGAGAGUAGCGUAUGAUACGUCUCCGUCGUACCUACUUUUCCAAACACUUUUGCCCUUGUUUUGGACUCUAACUUGCAUGAUUUGAAUGGAACUAACCCGGACUGGCGCUGUUUUCAGCAGAAUUGCCAUGGUGUUAUUUAUGUGCAGAAACAAAAGUUCUCGGAAUGACCUGAAACUCCACGGAACAUAUUUUUGGAAAAUAUUAAAAAUACUGGAAGAAGAAUCCACGUCAGGGGGGCCUCCACCUGUCCACGAGGGUGGGGGGGCGCCUGCCCCCUGCCUCGUGGGCCCCCUGACGCUCCACCGACCUCAACUCCAACUCCAUAUAUUCACUUUCGGGGAGAGAAAAAUCAGGGAGAAUGAUUCAUCACGUUUUACGAUACGGAGCCGCCGCCAAGCCCUAAACUCUCUCGGGAGGGCUGAUCUGGAGUCCGUUCGGGGCUCCGGAGAGGGGAAUCCGUCGCCGUCGUCAUCAUCAACCAUCCUCCAUCACCAAUUUCAUGAUGAUCACCGCCGUGCGUGAGUAAUUCCAUCGUAGGCUUGCUGGAUGGUGAUGGGUUGGAUGAGAUUUAUCAUGUAAUCGAGUUAGUUUUGUUAGGGUUUGAUCCCUAGUAUCCACUAUGUUCUGAGAUUGAUGUUGCUAUGACUUUGCUAUGCUUAAUGCUUGUCACUAGGGCCCGAGUGCCAUGAUUUCAGAUCUGAACCUAUUAUGUUUUCAUGAAUAUAUGUGAGUUCUUGACCUAUCUUGCAAGUCUAUAGUCACCUACUAUGUGUUAUGAUCCGGCAACCCCGAAGUGACAAUAAUCGGGACCACUCCCGGUGAUGACUGUAGUUUGAGGAGUUCAGGUAUUCACUAUGUGUUAAUGCUUUGGUCCGGUACUCUAUUAAAAGGAGGCCUUAAUAUCCCUUAGUUUCCGUUAGGACCCCGCUGCCAUGGGAGGGUAGGACAAAAGAUGUCAUGCAAGUUCUUUUCCAUAAGCACGUAUGACUAUAUUCAGAAUACAUGCCUACAUUACAUUGAUGAAUUGGAGCUAGUUCUGUGUCACCCUAUGUUAUGAUUGUUACAUGAUGAACCGCAUCCGGCAUAAUUCUCCAUCACCGAUCCAAUGCCUACGAGCUUUUCACAUAUUGUGCUUCGCUUAUUUACUUUUCCGUUGCUACUGUUACAAUCACUACAAAACCCAAAAAUAUUACUUUUGCUAUCGUUACCUUUACUUCCAUACUACUUUGCUAUUAAAUACUUUGCUGCAGAUAUUAAGUUAUCCAGGUGUGGUUGAAUUGACAACUCAACUGCUAAUACUUGAGAAUAUUCUUUGGCUCCCCUUGUGUCGAAUCAAUAAAUUUGGGUUGAAUACUCUACCCUCGAAAACUGUUGCGAUCCCCUAUACUUGUGGGUUAUCAAGACUAUUUUCUGGCGCCGUUGCCGGGGAUUAUAGCUCUAUGCUUUGAGUCACUUGGGACUUAUAUCUGCUGGUCACUAUGAGGAACUUGAAAGACGAGAAAACAAAAAUUUAUCCCUCAACUACGAGGGAAGGUAAGGAACUGCCAUCUAGCUCUGCACUUGAUUCACCUUCUUUUUUGAGUAAGCUUGCGACGCCUAAACCUGCUUCUGCUAUUAAUUCUGAUAUGUCGCAUGUUAUUGAUGAUGCCACUUCUGCUAUGCACGGUACUUAUGAUGAAACUACUUCUAUGCUUGAUACUACUGUGCCACUUGGUGAAUUUCUUGAUGAACAAGUUGCUAGGGCUAGAGAGAAUGAAAUUAUUGAAACUGAUAAUAUUGAUGAAAGUGAUGACGAAGACUCUCCUAAUAAAUAUGAGUUGCAUGUUGUGCCUGAGGGCUAUGUUAUGGAUGAAGAAACUGCUAGAGACUUUCUUGCUUGCAAUGAUAGAAGUGAUCUUAAGAAAUUAUUAGCUAAGCUGAAACAAAAAACUCUGAAUGCUAGAAUGAAAUAUGAUCCUGCCUAUGCUACUUCACCUAUCUUUGUUACUGAUAAGGAUUAUGAAUUCUCCAUUGAUCCUGAUAUAAUUACUUUGGUUGAAUCUGAUCCUUUUUAUGGCUAUGAAUCUGAAACUGUUGUGGCACAUCUUACUAAAUUAGAUGAUAUAGCCACCCUGUUCACUAAUGAUGAGAGAACCCGCUACUUUUAUAUCCUUCAAAUAUUUCCGUUCUCAUUAAAGGAUGAUGCUAAGAUAUGGUUUAAUUCUCUUGAUCUUGGUUGUGUGCGUAGUCCCCAGGAUAUGAUUUAUUACUUCUCUGCUAAAUAUUUCCCCGCUCAUAAGAAACAAGCUGCCUUAAGGGAAAUAUAUAAUUUUGUGCAAAUUGAAGAAGAGAGUCUCCCACAAGCUUGGGGGAGGCUCCUCCAAUUACUUAAUGCUUUGCCUGAUCAUCCUCUUAAGAAAAAUGAAAUACUUGAUAUCUUUUAUAAUGGACUAACCGAUGCUUCCAGAGACCACCUGGAUAGUUGUGCUAGUUCUAUUUUCAGGGAAAGAACACCGGAUGAAGCUGAAAUUCUAUUGAAUAAUAUGUUGACAAAUGAAAAUAAUUGGACACUUCCUGAGCCAACUCCCGAGCCUAUCCCUAAACCAACUCCGAAGAAAAGAGGUGUUCUAUUUCUCAGUCCUGAAGAUAUGCAAGAGGCAAAGAAAUCUAUGAAAUAAAAAGGUAUUGAAGCUGAAGAUGUUAAGAAUUUACCUCCUAUUGAAGAAAUACAUGGUCUUAAUUUACCGCCUGUUGAAGAAAUAUAUGGUCUUAAUUCAUCACCUAUUGAGGAAACACAUGGUCUUGAUAACCCGACACAGGUAGUAAAGGUAAAUUCUCUCUAUAGAUAUGAUAAAGCUGAAAUCCCUCCUACUAAGUUUGCUAGCCGAUGCUUGGAUGAGUUUGAUAACUUUAUGGUUAAGCAAGAAGAUUUUAAUGCUUAUGUUGGUAGACAAUUAAAACAAAAUGCCUAUAUGAUUGAACACUUGGGUGAUUAUAUGUCUAGAGUUAAAUGUGAACUUAAACUCAUUAGUAAACAUGCUUCUAUGGUCACCACUCAAGUAGAACAAGUACUUAAAGCUCAAAAUGAUUUGCUCAAUGAAUUGAAUAGUAAGAAUAAUGACUAUGCUGUUAGAGUGGCUACUAGAAAUGGUAAAAUGACUCAGGAACCUUUAUAUCUUGAAGGCCAUCCUAAGAGAAUUGAGCAGGAUUCUCAGAGAAAUAAUGUAGAUGCACUUAGUCCUUCUAAAAAGAAGAAAAAGAAAAAUGAUAGGACUUUGCAUGCUUCUAGUGAACCUAUUGCUGAACCACCUGAGAAUCCCAAUGAUAUUUCUGUUUCUGAUGCUGAAACACAAUCUGGUAAUGAACAUGAACCUAGUGAUAAUGUUAAUGAUGAUGUUCAUGUUGAUGCUCAACCUAGUAAUGAUAAUGAUGUAGAAAUUGAACCUGAUGUUGAUCUUGAUAACCCACAAUCAAGGAAUCAACGUUAUGAUAAGAGAGACUUUGUUGCUAGGAAGCAUGGUAAAGAAAGAGAACCAUGGGUUCAGAAACCCAUGCCUUUUCCUCCCAAACCAUCCAAGAAAAAGGAUGAUGAGGAUUUUGAGCGCUUUGCUGAAAUGAUUAGACCUAUCUUUUUGCGUAUGCGUUUAACUGACAUGCUCAAAAUGAAUCCUUAUGCUAAGUAUAUGAAAGAAAUUGUUACAAAUAAAAGAAAGAUACCGGAAGCUGAAAUUUCCACCAUGCUAGCUAAUUACACUUUCAAGGGUGGAAUACCUAAGAAACUAGGAGAUCCAGGAGUACCAACUAUACCAUGCUCCAUUAAGAGAAACUAUGUUAAAACUGCUUUAUGUGAUCUUGGAGCCGGUGUUAGUGCUAUGCCUCUCUCUUUAUAUCGUAGACUUGAUUUGAAUAAGUUGACACCUACUGAAAUAUCUUUGCAAAUGGCUGAUAAAUCAACUGCUAUACCUGUCGGUAUUUGUGAGGAUGUGCCUGUUGUGGUUGCAAAUGUUACUAUUUUAACAGACUUUGUUAUUCUUGAUAUUCCCGAGGACGAUAGUAUGUCUAUUAUUCUUGGAAGACCCUUUUUGAAUACUGCAGGGGCUGUUAUUGAUUGCAACAAAGGCAAUGUCACUUUUCAUGUUAAUGGUAAUGAGCAUACGGUACACUUUCCGAGGAAACAACCUCAAGUCCACAGUAUCAAUUCUAUUGGAAAAAUUCCAUCAAUUAUUUUUGGAGGUUUUGAAUUUCCUCUUCCUACUGUCAAGAAGAGAUAUGAUAUUCUUAUUAUUGGGGUUGUGCAUAUCCCCGUUGAGGUAACAUAGUGUUAUUCGAAAUGUCUUCGGUUCCAUGUUAUUCGGAAUGAGUUUGUUAACAGGACUUGAUCAACCUUGUUAAUGGAUUCCUUUUGAUGAGCAUGAGAUGGAUGAAGUUAGAAGGCACAACCUUCUGUACCCUCUUUUUACUUUCUAUUAUUUAGUUGAAAUAAAGCAAAAAUAGUAUUUUCUGUCUAUUUUCUGAAUUAUCCGUGCAAUAUAAAAAUACCUCGAAAAUAAAAGUUCUCCAAAUGCCCUGCCAAUUUAAUAUGUUUUUUCUGGAAUAUUUGAGAAUAUCUGGCACUGAGAACACAGCAGGGGGAGCAAGCACCUGGCCACGAGGGUCCAGGGCGCGCCCACCCCCCUGGGCGCGCCCCCUGCCUCAUGGGCCCACGGUGGCCCCCCUCCACUUAUGCCAGCCACCACACACUUCUUCUUCCUCCCAAAAAAAUCACUAUCCAGCUCAAGCACGAGUUCUAGCUCAUUUUGCUGCGAUUUUCGAUCUCCUUGCUCAAAGCACCUCUCACAAAACUGCUUUGGGGGAUUGUUCCUUGGUAUGUGACUCCUCCAUUGGUCCAAUUAGUUUUUGUUCUAAUGCUUUAUUCAUUGCAAAUUUGUGCUGCCUAGGUGACCAUGUUCUUGAGCUUGCAUGUCAAAUUUAUAUGGUUCCAACUAGUUCUAAUGCAUGAUAUAGGCUCUAGGCACUUGUAGGAGUAGUUGCUAUCAAUUUUGUUGAGCUUGGUUCACUUUUAUUUGAAGUUACUAAAAAUUUCAGAAAUUUUUCAGAGGAAGAAAUAUGUUUAGGAAAAUGUACCAAGGUGGUUCUUCAAGGAAGCAAGGACCCAGGCUUGCAAUGCGUGAUGCUGAUGAUGAACCACCAAGGGACGCCCCAGUGCGGCCUUGUGAAUGGCCUUCAGAGGACUUCAUGGAUCGAGCAGGAAUUAAGGAAGAAUUUAACGCAUAUUUGCGUAACACCGAUCUUGUGAGCUUCGAGGCAGCCGUCAGUACCACUAUCUCACUUGUUCCUUUGUGAGGAGGUUUGAAUUUUCAUCUUCACGCAAUUCUCAAACUGUCCUGUUUGAUCUUUAUGAAAAUUCUUUUACUAUGGACUUAGAGGAUUUUACCACUGCUUGCAAACUUCCACAAUGGGGUAGUACUAGUGAACCUCGCAAAUCUGAAUUUAGAGAUUUUCUAGCUAGUAUAACUGUGGGGGAAUCUAGAGACAUAGCACAAGCUACCAUAGGGAGCAUUCAUUUUCCUGCUAUACAUUAUUUUGCUCUCUUCGUAGGUAGGUGCAUAAAUGGUAAGGAUGAAGCAUGUCACAUGUGUGUCCCUGACCUCAGUAUUCUUAGGAGUGCCGUGUUAGGAGAUAAAUCUUAUAAUUUGGGAGACAUUGUUGCACGCAAGUUGCAUCAUAAUAGAUUUAAUGGAGAUUUCUUUGGUGGAAUUUAUGCAACCCGUAUAGCUAAUUUUCUUGGUAUAACCAUACGUGAGGAUGAUAUUGAGUUGCCUCCUGCUUAUUUGGAUUAUGAGGCUAUGGUUCAUCAUCAUUUUGUUGAGAAGAACGAUCAGUUCCUCCAGUACCGACUAAUCUUUGACAGACGACGCACCUAUCACGUCGCUCUCCCUGCUUCUACUUUCUUUGACUUUUAGGCAAAAGGGAGAUAUUUUAUAACCAGAGAGGAGGCGGAAGAGUAUAAGAGGAGGGCUAAGAUAGCUCGCCUCCAAGCUGCAGCACACGAUGCAAUGACCGCUGCAUCUCAGUAUGACCCCAACUACAACUAUGGAUAUCCGCCAGGCCAUCCGUGGCAAUAAACCAACUUAGGCCAAAAGCCUAAGCUUGGGGGAGUACAUAUCUCUCCCCGACAUUACAUUCAUGUUCACACACUCAUUGCUAGAUGUCGGUGUUCAUACUCUUUCACUGUAAUAUCCAUGCUAGUUUAUUUUCUUUUUCUUGCUUUCUUCUUGUGUGUUUAAUAAACCUUAAGAAAACCAAAAAAAUAGUGUAGCUUUUAGUUAGUUUACUUUCUUGCUGUAGUAGUAAUAAUUAAAAAGAAAACCCAAAAAGAUUUCCCGUUCUUCUUUUGCUUGUUGAGAGCUUUCCCGUGUAAAUAGUUUUAUUUCUUUUCUUUUCUUUGGGGGUCGAUAGGAGAAGACCUUGAUUAAAUUGUUGAAGUGGCUCUUAUAUGCAUUAUUGUUGAUUUAACCAAGAGCCCAUAUUGCCUUGUCUUCUCCUGUUUAUUGAAUGCUCGCAGAUUCCAGCUUAGUCCAAUGCACGUGCACUCUUAUUAUUUUCACAUUGUUCGGUCGUGCAAGUGAAAGGCAAUUAUGACGAUAUAUGAUGGACUGACUGAGAUGAGAGAAGCUGGUAUGAACUCGACCUCUCUUGUUUUUGGAAAUAUGAUUAGUUCAUCGUUCCUGAUUCAGCCUAUUAUGAAUAAACAUGUUUGCAAUAACAAUUAGAGAUCAUAGUUGCUUAUGCCAUGCUUGAUUAGCUAUGAGUCAUAAUGGUUUACCUUGCGUGCCAACAUGCUAUUAAAAUGGUUGUGAUGUGGUAUGAUGGGGUGGUAUCCUCCUUUGAAUGAUUUAAGUGACUCGACUUGGCACAUGUUCACACAUGUAGUUGAAACAAAUCAACAUAGCCUUCACGAUAUUUAUGUUCAUGGUGGAUUAUAUCCUACUCAUGCUUGCACUCAAUGUUUAUUAAUUUUAAUGCAUGUUCAUGACUGUUGUUGCUCUCUAGUUGGUCGCUUCCCAGUCUUUUGCUAGCCUUCACUUGUACUAAGCGGGAAUACUGCUUGUGCAUCCAAUCCCUUAAACCCCAAAGUUAUUCCAUAUGAGUCCACUAUACCUUCCUAUAUGCAGUAUCUACCUGCCGUUCCAAGUAAAUUUGUAUGUGCCAAACUCUAAACCUUCAAAUGAAAUUCUGUUUUGUAUGCUCGAAAAGCUCAUGUAUCAACUAGGGCUGUCCGUAUCUUCCAUGCUAGGCAGGUUAUUCUCAAGAGGAGUGGACUCCACUCCUCACUCACGAGAAAAUGGCUGGUCACCGGGAUGCCCAGUCCCAUGCUUUAAGAAAAUCAAAUCAAAAUAAUUGCAAACAAAACUCUCCCUGGGACUGUUGUUAGUUGGAGGCACUCGUUGUUUCGAGCAAGCCAUGGAUUGAUGCUUGUUGGUGGAGGGGGAGUAUAAAAUUUACCAUUCUAUUUGGGAACCGCCUAUAAUGUGUGUAGCAUGGAAGAUAUCGCCAUCUCUUGGUUGUUAUGUUGACAAUGAAAGUAUGCCGCUCAAAAUAUUAUUUAUCUCUAUUUCAAAAACCGAGCUCUGGCACCUCUACAAAUCCCUCCUUCCCUCUGCGAAGGGCCUAUCUAUUUACUUUUAUGUUGAGUCAUCACCCUCUUAUUAAAAAGCACCAGCUAGAGAGCACUGCUGUCAUUUGCAUCCAUUAUUAUUAAUUUAUAUUGGGUACGACUAUGAUUGGAUCUCUUUUGCCAUGAAUUACAAUGUCUAGUCAGUCCUUGAUCUUUAAAGCUGCUCUGCAUUUAUGUUUUGCGGUCUCAGAAAGGGCUAGCGAGAUACCAUCCUGUUAUAUCAUAUUAUGAUUGUUUUGAGAAAGUGUUGUCAUCCGAGAUUUAUUAUUAUUGCUCGCUAGUUGAUUAUGUCAUUGAUGUGAUUAAACAUGAGACCUAAGAGUUAUUGUUAAUGUGGUUAGUCAUAAUCUUUGCUGAAAACUUGAAUGCUGGCUUUACAUAUUUACGACAACAAGAGCAAACAGAGUUUGUAAAAGUUUUUCUUUAUCACUUUCAGUUUAUCAACUGAAUUGCUUGAGGACAAGCAAAGGUUUAAGCUUGGGGGAGUUGAUACGUCUCCGUCGUAUCUACUUUUCCAAACACUUUUGCCCUUGUUUUGGACUCUAACUUGCAUGAUUUGAAUGGAACUAACCCGGACUGACGCUGUAUUCAGCAGAAUUGCCAUGGUGUUAUUUAUGUGCAGAAACAAAAGUUCUCAGAAUGACCUGAAACUCCACGGAACAUAUUUUUGGAAAAUAUUAAAAAUACUGGAAGAAGAAUCCACGUCAGGGGGCCUCCACCAGUCCACGAGGGUGGGGGGCGCGCCUGCCCCCUGGGCGCGCCCCCUGCCUCGUGAGCCCCCUGACGCUCCACCGACCUCAACUCCAACUCCAUAUAUUCACUUUCGGGGAUAAAAAAAUCAGGGAGAAAGAUUCAUCGCGUUUUACGAUACGGAGCCGCCGCCAAGCCCUAAACUCUCUCGGGAGGGCUGAUCUGGAGUCCGUUCGGGGCUCCGAAGAGGGGAAUCCUUCGCCGUCGUCAUCAUCAACCAUCCUCCAUCACCAAUUUCAUGAUGCUCACCGCCGUGCGUGAGUAAUUCCAUCGUAGGCUUGCUCGACGGUGAUGGGUUGGAUGAGAUUUAUCAUGUAAUCGAGUUAGUUUUGUUAGGGUUUGAUCCCUAGUAUCCACUAUGUUCUGAGAUUGAUGUUGCUAUGACUUUGCUAUGCUUAAUGCUUGUCACUAGGGCCCGAGUGCCAUGAUUUCAGAUCUAAACCUAUUAUGUUUUCAUGAAUAUAUGUGAGUUCUUGAUCCUAUCUUGCUAGUCUAUAGUCACCUACUAUGUGUUAUGAUCCGGCAACCCCGAAGUGACAAUAAUCGGGACCACUCCCGGUGAUGACUGUAGUUUGAGGAGUUCAUGUAUUCACUAUGUGUUAAUGCUUUGGUCCGGUACUCUAUUAAAAGGAGGCCUUAAUAUCCCUUAGUUUCCGUUAGGACCCCGCUGCCACGAGAGGGUAGGACAAAAGAUGUCAUGCAAGUUCUUUUCCAUAAGCACGUAUGACUAUAUUCGAAAUACAUGCAUACAUUACAUUGAUGAAUUGGAGCUAGUUCCGUGUCACCCUAUGUUAUGAUUGUUACAUGAUGAACCGCAUCCGGCAUAAUUCUCCAUCACCGAUCCAAUGCCUACGAGCUUUUCACAUAUUGUUCUUUGCUUAUUUACUUUUCCGUUGCUACUGUUACAAUCACUACAAAACCCAAAAAUAUUACUUUUGCUAUCGUUACCGUUACUUCCAUACUACUUUGCUAUUAAAUACUUUGCUGUAGAUAUUAAGUUAUCCAGGUGUGGUUGAAUUGACAACUCAACUGCUAAUACUUGAGAAUAUUCUUUGGCUCCCCUUGUGUCGAAUCAAUAAAUUUGGGUUGAAUAUACCCUCAAAAACUGUUGCGAUCCCCUAUACUUGUGGGUUAUCAGCGUAGCACAGGAAGACGUUUCUGUGGUGCCUGCACCGACUAGAGAGGAAGUUAAUGAUGAUGAUCAUGAAACUUCGGAUCAAGUUGGUACUGAACUUCGUAGGUCCACAAGGACACGUUCCGCACCAGAGUGGUACGGCAACCCUGUCCUGGAAAUCAUGUUGUUAAACAAUGGUGAACCUUUGAACUAUGAAGAAGCGAUGGCGGGCCCAGGUUCCGACAAAUGGCUUGAAGCCAUGAAAUCCGAGAUAGGAUCCAUGUAUGAAAACGAAGUAUGGACUUUGACUGACUUGCCCGAUGAUCGGCGAGCCAUAGAAAAUAUAUGGAUCUUUAAGAAGAAGACAGACGCGGAUGGUAAUGUGACCAUCGAUAAGGCUUGGCUUGUCGCUAAGGGUUAUCGACAAGUUCAAGGGGUUGACUAUGAUGAUACCUUCUCACCCGUAGCGAAGCUGAAGUCCGUCUGAAUCAUGUUAGCAAUUGCCGCAUUCUAUGAUUAUGAGAUAUGGCAAAUGGACGUCAAAACGGCAUUCCUUAAUGGUUUCCUUAAGGAAGAAUUGUAUAUGAUGCAGCCGGAAGGUUUUGUCGAUCCUAAGAAUGCUGACAAGGUAUGCAAGCUCCAGCGCUCAAUCUAUGGGAUGGUGCAAGCAUCUCGGAGUUGGAACAUUCGCUUUGAUGAGAUGAUCAAAGCGUUUGGGUUUACACAGACUUAUGGAGAAGCCUGUGUUUACAAGAAAGUGAGUGGGAGCUCUGUAGCAUUUCUCAUAUUGUAUGUGGAUGACAUACUAUUAAUGGGAAAUGAUAUAGAAUUCUUGGAAAGCAUAAAGGCCUACUUGAAUAAGUGUUUUUCAAUGAAGGACCUUGGAGAAGCUGCUUAAAUAUUAGGCAUCAAGAUCUAUAUAGAUAGAUCGAGACGCCUCAUUGGUCUUUCACAAAGCACAUACCUUGACAAGAUAUUGAAGAAGUUCAAUAUGGAUCAGUCCAAGAAGGGGUUCUUGCCUGUAUUGCAAGGUAUGAGAUUGAGCACGGCUCAAUUCCCGACCACGGCAGAAGAUAGAGAAAAGAUGAGUGUCAUCCCCUAUGCCUCAGCCAUAGGGUCUAUUAUGUAUGCCAUGCUGUGUACCAGACCUGAUGUGAACCUUGCCGUAAGUUUAGUAGGAAGGUACCAAAGUAAUCCCGGCAUGGAACACUGGACAGUGGUCAAGAAUAUCCUGAAGUACCUGAAAAGGACUAAGGAUAUGUUUCUCGUUUAUGGAGGUGACGAAGAGCUCGUCGUAAAGGGUUAUGUCGAUGCUAGCUUCGACACAAAUCUGGAUGACUCCAAGUCGCAGACCGGAUACGUGUAUAUUUUGAAUGGUGGGGCAGUCAGCUGGUGCAGUUGCAAGCAAAGCGUCGUGGCGAGAUCUACAUGUGAAGCGGAGUACAUGGUAGCGUCGGAGGCAGCACAUGAAGCAAUCUAGAUGAAGGAGUUCAUUACCGACCUAGGAGUUAUUCCCAAUGCGUCGGGCCCGAUGACUCUAUUCUGUGACAACACUGGAGAUAUUGCCGUUGCCAAGGAGCCCAGGUUUCACAAGAAGACCAGGCAUAUCAAGCGUCGCUUCAACUCCAUUCGUGAAAAUGCUCAAGAUGGAGACAUAGAUAUUUGUAAAGUGCAUACGGAUCUGAAUGUCGCAGAUCCGUUGACUAAACCUCUUCCACGAGCAAAACAUGAUCGACACCAGAACUCUAUGGGUGUUCGAUUCAUCACAAUGUAACUAGAUUAUUGACUCUAGUGCAAGUGGGAGACUGUUGGAAAUAUGCCCUAGAGGAAAUAAUAAAAUGGUUAUUAUUAUAUUUCCUUGUUCAUGAUAAUUGUCUAUUGUUCAUGCUAUAAUUGUGUUAUCCGGAAAUCGUAAUAAAUGUGUGAAUACAUAGACCACAACAUGUCCCUAGUGAGCCUCUAGUUGACUAGCUCGUUGAUCAAUAGAUGGUUACGGUUUCCUGACCAUGGACAUUGGAUGUCGUUGAUGAAGGAAAUAUGCCCUAGAGGCAAUAAUAAAGUUAUUAUUUAUUUCCUUAUAUCAUGAUAAAUGUUUAUUAUUCAUGCUAGAAUUGUAUUAACCGGAAACAUAUUGUGUGAAUACAUAGACAAACAGAGUGUCACUAGUAUGCCUCUACUUGACUAGCUCGUUGAUCAAAGAUGGUAAUGUUUCCUAGCCAUUGACAUGAGUUGUCAUUUGAUUAACGGGAUCGCAUCAUUAGGAGAAUGAUGUGAUUGACUUGACCCAUUCCUUUAGCUUAGCACACGAUCAUUUAGUAUUCUGCUAUUGCUUUCUUCAUGACUUAUACAUGUUCCUAUGACUAUGAGAUUAUGCAACUCCCGUUUACCGGAGGAACACUUUGUGUGCUACCAAACGUCACAACGAAACUGGGUGAUUAUAAAGGUUCUCUACAGGUGUCUCCGAAGGUACUUGUUGGGUUGGCGUAUUUCGAGAUUAGGAUUUGUCACUCCGAUUGUCGGAGAGGUAUCUCUAGGCCCACUCGGUAAUGCACAUCACUAUAAGCCUUGCAAGCAUUGCAACUAAUGAGUUAGUUGAAGGAUGAUGUAUUACAGAACGAGUAAAGAGACUUGCCGGUAACGAGAUUGAACUAGGUAUUGAGAUACCGACGAUCGAAUCUCGGGCAAGUAACAUACCGAUGAUAAAGGGAACAACGUAUGUUGUUAUGCGGUCUGACCGAUAAAGAUCUUCGUAGAAUAUGUGGGAACCAAUAUGAGUAUCCAGGUUCCGCUAUUGGUUAUUGACCGGAGAUGUGUCUCGGUCAUGUCUACAUAGUUCUCGAACCCGUAGGGUCCGCACGCUUAAAGUUUGAUGACGGUUAUAUUAUGAGUUUAUGUGUUUUGAUGUACCGAAGAUAGUUUGGAAUCCAGGAUGUGAUCACGGACAUGACGAGGAGUCUCGAAAUGGUCGAGACAUAAAGAUUGAUAUAUUGGAAGCCUAUAUUUGGAUAUCGGAAGUGUUCCGGGUGAAAUCAGGAUUUUACCGGAGUACCGGGGGUUACCGGAAACCCCCCCGGGGGUUUAAUGGGCCUACAUGGGCCAUAGUGGAGAAGAGGAGGGGCGGCCAGGGCAGGCCGCGCGCCCCCUCCCCCUCAAGUCCGAAUUGGACAAGGAGGGGGGGCGCCCCCCUUUCCUUCCUCUCUCCCUCCUCCUUCCCCCUUCUCCUACUCCAACUAGGAAAGGAGGGAGUCCUACUCCCGGUGGGAGUAGGACUCCUCCUGGCGCGCCUCCUCCUGGCCGGCCGCCUCUCCCUCCCUUGCUCCUUUAUAUACAGGGGCAGGGGGUGUUGGAAAUAUGCCCUAGAGGCAAUAAUAAAAUGGUUAUUAUUGUAUUUCCUUGUUCAUGAUAAUUGUCUGUUGUUCAUGCUAUAAUUGUAUUAACUGGAAACCGUAAUACAUGUGUGAAUACAUAGACCACAACAUGUCCCUAGUAAGCCUCUAGUUGACUAGCUCGUUGAUCAAUAGAUGGUUAUGGUUUCCUGACCAUGGACAUUGGAUGUCAUUGAUAACGGGAUCACAUCAUUAGGAGAAUGAUGUGAUGGACAAGACCCAAUCCUACGCAUAGCACAAGAUCGUGUAGUUCGUUUGCUAGAGCUUUUCUAAUGUCAAGUAUCAUUUCCUUAGACCAUGAGAUUGUGCAACUCCAGGAUACCGUAGGAAUGCUUUGGGUGUACCAAACGUCACAACGUAACUGGGUGGCUAUAAAGGUGCACUACAGGUAUCUCCGAAAGUGUCUGUUGGGUUGGCACGAAUCGAGACUGGGAUUUGUCACUCCGUAUGACGGAGAGGUAUCUCUGGGCCCACUCGGUAAUGCAUCAUCAUAAUGAUCUCAAUGUGACCAAGUGUUUGGUCACGGGAUCAUGCAUUACGAUACGAGUAAAGUGACUUGCCGGUAACGAGAUUGAACAAGGUAUUGGGAUACCGAUGAUCGAAUCUCGGGCAAGUAACGUACCGAUUGACAAAGGGAAUUGUAUACGGGAUUGAUUGAAUCCUCGACAUCGUGGUUCAUCCGAUGAGAUCAUCGUGGAACAUGUGGGAGCCAACAUGGGUAUCCAGAUCCCGCUGUUGGUUAUUGACCGGAGAGUCGUCUCGGUCAUGUCUGCAUGUCUUCCGAACCCGUAGGGUCUACACACUUAAGGUUCGGUGACGCUAGGGUUGUAGAGAUAUUAGUAUGCGGAAAUCCGAAAGUCGUUCGGAGUCCCGGAUGAGAUCCCGGACGUCACGAGGAGUUCCGGAAUGGUCCGGAGGUAAAGAUUUAUAUAUGGGAAGUCCUAUUUUGGCCACCGGAAAAUGUUCGGGAUUUUUCGGUAUUGUACCGGGAAGGUUCUAGAAGGUUCGGAAGUGGGGCCCACCUGCAUGGGGGGACCCACAUGAACGUGGGUAGUGGGGGCAAGGCCCCACACCCCUGGUCAAGGCGCACCAAGAUCCCACCUUAGAAGGAAUAAGAUCAUAUCCCGAAGGGAUAAGAUCAAGAUCCCUAAAAAAGGGGGAUAACAAUCGGUGGGGAAGGGAAAUGAUGGGAUUUCUUUCCCCCACCUUUGCCAACGCCCCAAUGGACUUGGAGGGCAAGAAACCAGCCCCCUCCACCCCUAUAUAUAGUGGGGAGGCGCAUGGGAGCAGCACCCCAAGCCCUGGCGCCUCCCUCCCUCCCGUGACACCUCUUCCUCCCCGCUUGCGCUUGGCGAAGCCCUGGCGCCUCCCUCCCUCCCGUGACACCUCUUCCUCCCCGCUUGCGCUUGGCGAAGCCCUGCCGGGAUCCCGCUACUUCCACCACCACGCCGUCGUGCUGCUGGAUCUCCAUCAACUUCUCCUCCCCCCUUGCUGGAUCAAGAAGGAGGAGACGUCCCCGCUCCGUAUGUGUGUUGAACGCGGAGGUGCCGUCCGUUCGGCGCUAGGAUCAUCGGUGAUUUGGAUCACGACGAGUACGACUCCAUCAACCCCGUUCUCUUGAACGCUUCCGCUCGCGAUCUACAAGGGUAUGUAUAUGUACUCCUCCCCUCUCGUUGCUAGCAUCUCCUAGAUUGAUCUUGGUGACACGUAGGAAAUUUUUGAAUUUCUGCUACGUUCCCCAAGAGUGGCAUCAUGAGCCAGGUCUAUGCGUAGAUUCUAUGCACGAGUAGAACACAAAGUAGUUGUGGGCGAUGAUUUGUUCAAUUUGCUUGCCAUUACUAGUCUUAUCUUGAUUCGGCAGCAUUGUGGGAUGAAGCGGCCCGGACCGACCUUACACGUACUCUUACGUGAGACAGGUUCCACCGACUGACAUGCACUUGAUGCAUAAGGUGGCUAGCGGGUGUCUGUCUCUCCCACUUUAGUUGGAUCAGAUUUGAUGAAAAGGGUCCUUAUGAAGGGUAAAUAGCAAUUGGCAUAUCACCGUUGUGGCUUUUGCGUAGGUAAGAAACGUUCUUGCGAGAAACCCAUAGCAGCCACGUAAAACAUGCAACAACAAUUAGAAGACGUCUAACUUGUUUUUGCAGGGUAUGCUAUGUGAUGUGAUAUGGCCAAAAGGAUGUGAUGAAUUAUAUAUGUGAUGUAUGAGAUUGAUCAUGUUCUUGUAAUAGGAAUCACGACUUGCAUGUCGAUGAGUAUGACAACCGGCAGGAGCCAUAGGAGUUGUCUUAAUUUAUUGUAUGACCUGCGUGUCAAUGAAAACGCCAUGUAAUUACUUUACUUUAUUGCUAACCGUUAGCCAUAGUAGUAGAAGUAAUAGUUGGCGAGACAACUUCAUGAAGACACGAUGAUGGAGAUCAUGAUGAUGGAGAUCAUGGUGUCAUGCCGGUGAUGAAGGUGAUCAUGCCGCGCCUCGAAGAUGGAGAUCAAAGGCGCAAGAUGAUAUUGGCCAUAUCAUCUCACUUUAUGAUUUGCAUGUGAUGUUUGUCAUGUUUACAUCUUAUUUGCUUAGAACGACGGUAGCAUAAAUAAGAUGAUCCCUCACUAAAAUUUCAAGAGAUGUGUUCCCCCUAACUGUGCACCGUUGCGAAGGUUCGUUGUUUCGAAGCACCACGUGAUGAUCGGGUGUGAUAGAUUCUAAUGUUCGCAUACAACGGGGGUUGACGAGCCUAGCAUGUACAGACAUGGCCUCGGAACACAAGCAAAACACUUAGGUUGACUUGACGAGCUUAGCAUGUACAGACAUGGCCUCGGAACACAAGAGACUGAAAGGUCGAACAUGAGUCGUAUAGUAGAUACGGUCAACAUGGAGAUGUUCACCGAUGAUGACUAGUCCGUCUCACGUGAUGAUCGGACACGGCCUAGUCGAUUCGGAUCAUGUAUCACUUAGAUGACUAGAGGGAUGUCUAUCUAAGUGGGAGUUCAUUAAAUAAUCAGAUGAACUUAAUUAUCAUGAACAUAGUCAAAAGGUCUUUGCAAAUAAUGUCGUAGUUUACGCUUUAGUUCUACUAAGAUAUGUUCCUAGAGAAAAUUUAGUUGAAAGUUGAUAGUAGCAAUUAUGCGGACUGGGUCCGUAAACUGAGGAUUGUCCUCAUUGCUGCACAGAAGGCUUAUGUCCUUAAUGCACCGCUCGGUGUGCUGAACCUCGAGCGUCGUUUGUGGAUGUUGCGAACAUCUGACAUACACGUUUUGAUGACUACGUGAUAGUUCAGUGCGUAAUGUUGAACGGUUUAAAAUUGUGGCACCAAAGACGGUUUUGAAACGUCGCAGAACAUAUGAGAUGUUCCAAGGACUGAAAUUGGGAUUUCAUACUAGUGCCCACGUCAAGAGGUAUGAGACCUCUGACAAGUUUCUUA
rnacentral:lncRNA from 1 species